rnacentral:lncRNA from 1 species
GGAAGAUUGUAAUAUGGAAUGUUGUUCAAGUCCUUUGGUGUAGGAGGGCAACAACUAUAUUCUACUAGAUCUUUACUCCCCGUUUUCGUGGCUUUACUACAUGAUUUCAGAUUAGGCGGCGGUAUAGGAGAAGAAAAGGCUAAUGGUGCAAGAUUGGAAGCACUGUAGAGCCCUCCUAAACCAAGAAGCACAUUUCUCCUAUCGAUAUUUGCUUUAAUAUUUUGGUCGUGCUCAUUAGCAUUGCAUGAGACGUGGAAACUUUGACUACGCCUUCUCUUCAACAAAUGCGGAGAAUAAGGUUUUGCAAAGAAUGAUGAGAGUGUUGUAUGUUGAGCAUAGUGAGACUGAUGAGCUGUUAUAUGAGUUAGUCAGAUUAAACAGUAAAUGUCAUGAAGUUAGUUAGCUGUUAGUUACUAGUUAAACUGUGGUUAGUUUAUAAUUAACAAGAUUAGAUGGUUAAAGUAGAUCCAAUUAUACACACUAUAUAUAGUGGUGUAGAUAUUUUGUUAAAAGAUAAUUCUGUACAGAAUAUUCAAUACAUUUUCUGUUUCUCUUCUUCUUAAUCACUGUUCUUCACAUUCUUAUCAUGGUAUCAGAGCUUCAGAUCCAUUGACGAUCUCCGUUUUUCAGUACAGUAGAUAGCUUGUUGCAUUGUAAAAAAGGCAGAUCGUGGAAAAUCUUGAAAUUUUAGUUUUACAACAAUGGCAUCUAAUCCCAAUCCAGAAAUCACUUCCAGUUCUAUGCAAGGAGGACAAAUUGUAUUCGAUGCACAUCAUCCCUUACAUCUUCAAGCUUGCGACACUCUAGGUAGUUCUUUGGUUUCUAUUCAGUUGACUGUAUCUGAAAAUUACGCUUUGUGGAGUAGAUCAAUGAAAAUAGGUCUACUAGGUAAAGGUAAAUUGGGAUUUGUUAAUAGCAAAUGCUCUAAGAGUUCAUUUCCUGCUUCACUUCAUGAUCUAUGGGAUAAAUGUAAUGCCAUAGUACUCUAUUGGAUCAUGAUAUCUAUUAUAAGUAGGGAGUUACUUAGUGGUAUAGUGUAUGCUAGCAAUGUUCAGCAGGUGUGGAAUGAUCUAAAGGAAAGGUUCGACAAAGUAGAUGGUUCUAGAAUUUUUUUUCUUCACAAAGAGAUUGCUACUAUGACUCAAGGAGUAUUAUCAGUUUCUAGCUAUUACUCUAAGCUGAAGGAGCUUUGGAUGGAGUUUGAUUCCCUUAUGCCUUGUCCUAGUUGUGCAUGUGAAGUGUCUAAGACCUAUGUUGUUCAUUUCGAAUAUCAGAGGUUAAUGCAAUUUCUUCUAGGGUUGAAUGAAUCAUAUAAUCAGUGUAGAAGUCAAAUCAUGAUGAUUGAUCCUACACCAGGUGUGAACAAGGCUUACUCAUUAGUAAUGGCUGAAGAGUGUCAGAGAGUACUUGGUAAAUCGAAUAUAGUAGGGACUGAAGGCACUAACUCUAUUAAUUCUAGGCAAUUGACUGAAGCAAUGGCAUUUUUCAGUAAUGGAAAGGGGUUUACUAGAUCAUGAGGACCUACAAAUCAGUCUGGAGGGUCUACUCAGUCUGGAGGAUCCACUCAGUAUGGAUCAAGUUUUAGACCUCAGAAAUCUCUUAACAACAAUUUGUAUUGUGAUUAUUGCAACUGGAAGGGCCACACUAGAGCUGUGUGUUUUAGAUUGCAUGGGUACCUUGCUAACUGGAAAGGUAAGAAGAGGACUAACCCUGGUCCUAUCACUGCUGCCAACCUUGUAAGAGCAAAUUCUCCUAGCAAUGGUAAUGCUAGUUUCAUGGAUUUUCAGUCUAGUUCAGGGUUUCCUGGUCAAGUUUUUACUACUGGGAACAGUUCAGGCAACUAUCAGAUUCAUCAACCUCCUUCGUUAUUAGGAAGUACUUCCUACUCAAAUUCUUCCCCUGCUCUUAUGACUAACAUACAGCCCUACCAGUAUCAGACUACACAGUGGCCAUAUCUAGUGCAGCAGCCAUCUCCUCAUCAAUACUUGCAAAUGCCACUGGAACUUAAAAAAACUACCAGUAAUGCUGCUGGAAGAGCAUCAGGUAUGUUAAACUGUUCUAUUUAUCCAAAUGUUGUUGACAAAUGGAUAGUAGAUUCAGGAGCCUCCAAGCAUAUGGUCAAUGCUCUUCACUUGUUAACUUACUCUAUUACUCUUCAUGAUUCCCUUGAGGGUAAAGUACACUUACCUACUGGUAGUUUAGCUAAGGUCAGUCAUAUUGGUUGUUCUCAGAUACUUGGAGGGAUUGAGAUCACCAAUGUACUGUAUGUUCCUGAGUUCAAGUAUAACUUGCUCUUUGUGCCAAAGUUAACUAAGGAGUUGAAUUGCUGUGUUCUUUUCUAUCCUGAUCACUGUGUAUUUCAGGAUCUCUCCAGUGGAAAGGUGAGGGGGAUUGGCAAGUUGGAGAAUGAUUUGUAUGUUCUUCAGGCUGAUUGUCAAUUGAAGUCACCAGCAACAGUUUCUUUGUCAUCAGCUUAUGCAGUUUCCACUCCUACAUCAUGUGUCUCAUCACCUCCUAUAGCUCUUGUUAACAAGAAUGUCUCUCUAUGGCAUAAAAGGCUGGGCCAUGUUCCAUUUACUACUCUUAAAAUGCUUGGAUGUUUCAAAUCAUUGUCGUCCAAGUCUGAUACACUUUGUACUGUAUGUCCUUUAGCUAAACAAUCAAGACUUUCUUUUCCAUUGAGCAGUAUCACAACUACUACUUGUUUUCAUACUUUACAUGCUAUGGGGUCCUUAUAGAGUGCCUACUCAUGAUCAUAAAAGUUAUUUUCUCACGAUUGUGGAUGAUUGUUCCCGAUAUAAUUGGUUAUUUUUGUUAAAUUCCAAGUCUGAAGUAAUUGUAGAGCUUAGAAAUUUUCUUGCAAUGAUCAGGAAUGUAUUUUCUGCCAGUAUAAAGAUUUUAAGGACUAAUAAUGGGUGUGAGUUUUUUAACUCGCAAGUGGCUUCUUUACUCCAGUCACUAGGUAUUCUUCACCAAAGUUCUUGUAUCUACACUCCACAACAAAAUGGAGUCGUCGAACGAAAGCAUAGACAUAUUUUAGACACAGCCAGAGCACUGAGAUUUCAGGCUAGUUUGCCACUCAGAUUCUGGGGAGAAUGUGUUCUUACCAGUGUAUAUCUCAUCAACAGAAUUCCCUCUCAAGUUCUUAAAGGGAAGACUCCGUAUGAUGUUUUAUUUCAAUCAUCACCACCCCUUGAUAACUUAAGGGUGUUUGGAUGCCUUGCUUUUGCUAUAGAAGUCAGAAAAGUGAAUAAAUUUGCCUCCAGAGCAGCUCCUGCUGUUUUUCUUGGUUAUUCAGCAUUGCAAAAGGGAUACAUAUUAUAUGCCCUGCACACUAAGGAGUUUUUCGUGAGUAGAGAUGUGGUGUUUAAGGAGGAUAUCUUCCCAUUUCAGUCUAUGCAUUUAGAUAUAUCUCCCCUAUUUCCUGUUUUGCAGUCUAUUGAGUUGUGUGACUCAACUCCUUUAUGCUUUCAUGUUGCUCCUACUGUAACUGAUAGAAGUUCCUCUGGUAUUACUCUUGCAUCUGAGCAUGCUGAACAUGCUCCUGUAGCUCUUACUGAUGAGCCAGCUCAAGUUCUAGUUCCUUCUAUUGCUGAUCCUUCUAUUUCCCCUACUGCAUCUCUUCCUAGUAGGAGAUCUUCUAGAAACAUCAAACCACCUUUUUGGAUGCAUGACUUUAUUACUACUCAGCCUAAGUCUAAAUGCUUGUAUCCAAUGUCAAAUCAUGUUAGUUAUGCCCAUCUUUCUGGUGUCUAUGGAGAAGCUUUAGCUGCUUAUUCUAGUAUUAUUGAACCUACUUCCUUUGCUGAGGCUGCUGGUCAUCCUAAAUGGGUAGAGGCUAUGAGAUCAGAAAUUGCAGCAUUAGAAGAUAACCACACUUGGAGUCUUACUGAGUUACCUCCAGGGAACCAACCUAUUGGAUGCAAGUGGGUCUUUAAAGUUAAAUAUCUCACCUCAGGUGCUGUUGAAAGGUAUAAGGCCCGACUGGUUGCAAAGGGUUUUAGUCAAAAAGAGGGCUUAGAUUACUCAGAGACUUUUUCUCCUGUUGCCAAAAUGGUUACCGUAAGAUCAGUCUUGGCUGUGGCUGCUGCCAGACAUUGGUCUGUGUUUCAAAUGGAUGUGCACAAUGCAUUUUUGCAGGGUGAUCUUCCUGAGGAUGUCUAUAUGGUUAUACCACCUGGUUUUUGCAGACAGAGGGCGACUGGCAAAGUCUGCAAACUUCACAAAUCCUUAUAUGGUCUAAAACAGGCACCAAGACAAUGGAAUCUUAAACUAACUGAAGCUUUAGUUCAGUUGGGAUUUGUUCAAAGCCAUUAUGAUUAUUCCCUUUUUACCAAGAAAGUAAAUAAGGAGUUGAUAGUGGUGCUUGUGUAUGUAGAUGAUCUACUUGUGACUGGCAGCUGUAGUAACUUGAUUGUGCAGACUAGAAAUGAUCUUAAACUCAAGUUCAAAAUGAAGGAUCUGGGAGAACUAAAAUUCUUCCUUGGUAUUGAAUUUGCUAGGUCUAAGGAGGGGUAUGUAAUGAGCCAGCGCAAGUAUGCCUUGGAGUUGAUAUCUGAGAUGGGUUUAAGUGGAGCCAAACCAGUGUCUACACCUCUGGAUCCUAAUCUUAAGCUAACAUCCAUUGAGUAUGAUUUACACGUGCAAGGAUCAGGAACUACUAUAUCAGACAGGCCCUUAAAGGAUGUUGGCAGAUACCAAAGAUUAGUGGGAAGGUUGUUGUACUUAACUAUGACCAGAGUUGAUAUCUCAUUUGCAGUACAGACAUUAAGUAAAUUUAUGCAUGCUCCUAAAGAAUCCCAUAUGGAAGCUGCUCUAAGGGUGGUCAAAUAUAUCAAGACAGCUCCUGGACUUGGUUUGUUUAUGCCUGCUCAAAGUUCAGAACUUCUGACUGUAUAUUGUGAUUCAGACUGGGGUACUUGUGUAUAAACAAGAAAGUCUGUAACUGGAUAUUUAGUAAAAUUUGGAGAUGCACUUAUCACCUGGAAAUCAAAAAAGCAAGAGACUGUUGCCAGAAGCUCUGUUGAAGCUGAGUUCAGGAGUAUGGCUUCAGCAGUUGCAGAAAUAACUUGGCUAAUUGGAGUGUACAAGGAACUAGGGGUGACUAUCAAACAACCAGUGGAUCUAUUCUGUGACAGCAAGGCUGCAAUACAAAUUGCAGCCAAUCCCAUUUUUCAUGAAAGAACUAAACACUUUGACAUUGAUUGUUACUUUGUCAGAGAAAAACUAACUCAGGGUAUGAUUAAGACUCAUCAUGUAUCCACCAGAGAUCAGUUAGCAGAUCUUCUUACAAAAGGGUUAUGGAAGGCUCCUCAUCUGCACUUAAUGGCCAAGCUGAGUUUAAAAGACAUCUUUCAGCCAUCAGCUUGAGGAGGGGUGUUGAGCAUAGUGAGACUGAGGAACUGUUAUAUGAGUUAGUUAGGAUGAACAGUAAAUGUCAUGAAGUUAGUUAGCUGUUAGUUACUAGUUAAACUGUGGUUAGUUUAUAAUUAACUAGACUAGAUGGUUAAAGUAGAUCCAAUUAUACACACUAUAUAUAGUGGUGUAGAUAUUUUGUAAAAGAUAAUUCUGUACAGAAUAUUCAAUACAUUUUCUGUUUCUCUUCUUCUUAAUCACUGCUCUUCACAUUCUUAUCAUUGUAGUAGUGAGAGUUUUGCUACUCUGGUCAUCAAGACUUAAACAGAUAGAAUUAAUGGAAGAUGAAGAAGCCAUUGAGUGAUUGUUGUGAUUCGUAUCAUCUAUUAAAUAAAAGUGAAUAAAAUAAUCAUAAAGUUACAUAAAAACAAAAAAACAAAAGCUAUUGCAUUUCUGACCUUACGUGUCCACAUAAGACAUGACAGUAUGCUAAAAUAUAAUGUCACCAACAAAAAAGAUAAACAAGAAAGAUAAUGAAAACCCAUAAAAUAAGUACUACUAAUAAGAGAUAAUAAAAAUGAACAAGGAUUAUGUGGAUUUUAUUUUUACUGAAUGGUUAUGAAUUAUAAUUCUGUAAAGACUUAAUUGUAUCCUCAAAGAAAUUGUAAGUGUUAUAAAUUGUAAUAUUGUAAAUAUCUAUCUUGUAUGUUGCUUUGAGAAAAGUUUGAGACUAAAUGAAGGAACAUUUUAGAAAUAUAUUAUUAUCUAACUUCUUUUGCAAAUGUAUAGCUCAAAACUUACAUUAUAAAUAUUUAGCCCAAAACACAAUUCGGUAUAUAAUAUUAUAUAUUUAGUAUACUUUAAUAUACAAAUUUAUAUUUUAUUUUUUACAAAACUAUUUAAAAACUUGAUUUACACUAUUAUACACUCAAUAUAUAAUAUUAUACAAAAUCAUAAGAGAUAUUUGUACAUCCAUAUACAAUAAUAUAUCACAAAAUAUAAAAUUAUAAGAGAUAUUUAUACACUCAUAUAAAAUAAUAUAUGUUAUCAUGUAAAAUACGAAUUUCGUCUUUUUUCUUGAAUCCAAGCAUUUGAUUCAUCCAAAAGCACCUCUAAACUACAUCAAAUCAUCCAAAAUUUCAUUUUAGGCUCCUCAAUACACAUUCAAUCUUUUGCAACAAUAUCCACUCGAAUUGGAGCUUAUUUGCGAAAAUUCAAUUUUCAAAUUUUGAAGCUUCGAUUUUCAACAUUAGAUGUCUGUGCCUCCAACGAAAUGUCAAUUCUCCUUAAUAGUAACUCCCAUAACGGAGAUAAAAUAAAGAUUUAAUUUAAAAUUUCUCUAAGACUAGGUACCAUUAUCAAUCACUCAGUUAUACACAUAUAUGAGACAUUCAUUUCACUCCAAAAAAAGCAAAACAAACAAAUCUGUUAUUUACUGUCACCAUAGUUGAGAGAGAGAGAGAGAGAGUGUUUUGGGUGUGCAGGGAAGAGAGAUAUUGUUAGGUUAGUGGCUAAAUUUGGGUAAGUUUAAAUAGCUUGUCUAUUUUGACAAUGUAUUUGGAAUUUGGAUCAAUGGUACUUUGAAGUAAUUCUCUCUAUAAAUAAAGAAAUUUUCUUUUAUUAUAAUCAAUCUUCAAGAAAAAAUAAGAAGUGUUGUUUCUUCUCGCUACUAUAUUCUUUUUCUUCUUUUUAUUUUAUAGUUUUAUAACAUAUUGUCAAUAUAAAUCUCAUAAACUAAAGUUGAUUUUAAUUUUAUAAAGGGAAAAGGGUCUGAUAUAUCCCUCGUUAUAAAAGUGGCUUAUAUAUAUCCUUAUCAUUAUACAAAUGACUCACAUAUAUCCCUACCGUUACAAAAGGAGUUCACAUAUACCCUUUAUCUAACAGAAGUGAAAAAAUUAGUUUUAAAUUUAUAUUUUUACUCUUACUUUUAAAAAAAUCAUGUAGGGUGUUCAAGGUAUAUUUUCAUCCUUUUCAUACAUAAAUUAUUUUUUGACUUCUUCGAUUAUCAUUAUUUGAGUUUCUUGUUCUUAUUUUAUUUUUUUCUUUCAUUUUUGGCUAUAUUAUAAUUUUAAACUAUUUUUUUCCGGUUAUAUUGUAAUUUAGUUUUUGUAUUUAUAUAUAAAAAAAAGAGGCAUCUACGAUAGAUUUUUACAAGAAAAUUAGUGAAACAUAAAUAAAUAUAACCACCAAAAUAAUAAAUUUAAAUUAGUCGUUAAAACAAAAAAAAAGUCAAAAAAAUAAGGUGCGAGGAUGAUUAAAUAUGCCCCAUAUGGAUUACAUAUAUAUUUUUUAAAAAUAAUUAAAAAAUUAAAUUAAAAUUAUCUUUUUCACUUCCGUUAGAGGAAAAAGAUAUAUGUGAGUCAUUUGUAUAACAGUAGAAGUAUAUAUGAGCCACUUUCAUAACACAAGAUAUAUCAGCGCUCUAAAUAACAAAAUUGAAAGAUAUAUCAGACUUUUUUUUCCUUUUAUCAAUCAUCAAAACACAAAUCACAUGUGAUACAAACAUGACUGGGAUAAAUAAUUAUCUUCCGUGCAAUAAAACAGAUGCUUUGAAUUAUUAUUUUUUACUCCAAUAAAUAGUACUACUAUAUUUUAUCUAGUUUUUAAAUACAUUUUCGAUUCAAUUUAUUUAUCUUAGUCAUUGUGUAUAUAUAUUUAGAAAUUGCAAGCAUAUUUUCAAUGUUAUAACAUUUUUAAAUACUUUCUAAAUAUUUUAGAUUGUUAAUCAUGGUAAGUUGUAACAUAUAAUAAUUUUAUCUAAUUUUAAAGUAUACAAAAAAUAGAAAAUUAUAUACCAAUUUUAUACCAAACAUUAGUUAAUGUGACCGUUGUCUCUCUCAAAAUAUCUCUACGGGCCUCGCCCACCUACCACCACACAUCUUAAUUUUUGAGUUUGGACCUUUUUGGCAGAUAAAAAUCAUAUUCAUUUUCCACUUUAAAACACACACAGACACAAAUAAUAAAUAAAGAAAACCUAUUGAAUUUUAUUUUUUUGUAGGAUUUAGGUUUACUGGUGAGAUCGAUUGAUUUGGUUCGCUUUUAUGUAGAAUUGGUUAAGUUUAUUAAUUUUAAAUUUAUAAAUAUGUUAAAUUGAUAAUCAUAUUAAUUAUCAAUUUUCAGUCAAUCCAUUUCGAAUCUAAAUAUACAAAUUAAUGUUCUAUUUAACUCACCCUCCUCUAAUUUGUUUUACAUUUUUAUUUUUAUGAAAUAAAUGUCAAAAACACACCUACACUAUCCCCUUUUUUUUAUUUUCAUACCCAAACUAUUGGAAGUGUGAGUUUCAUACUUAAACUAUCACUUAUUAGUUCGAGAAACACAUCUCAAUGGUGUGUGUAAUACACUCUCUUUUAUUUGAAAAAACCUUAACACAUGACAUGCCACAUGGAUAAAAUAUUUCACAUUGACUAAAAUUAAAUAAUAAACUAUUAAUAUUAAUUAAAAAUUAAAGAUUAAAGUACUACUAUCCCAAAAAAUAUAAUUUUUUUAAAAAUAAAAUUUAAAUUAUUUUUCUUAUCCCACUCCACUACCUCCUCCCCGUACCCCAAUAAUCCCCCAUCCANNNNNNNNNNNNNNNNNNNNNNNNNNNNNNNNNNNNNAGUUUAUACCCAAACUAUUGGAAGUGUGAGUUUCAUACUUAAACUAUCACUUAUUAGUUCGAGAAACACAUCUCAAUGGUGUGUGUAAUACACUCUCUUUUAUUUGAAAAAACCUUAACACAUGACAUGCCACAUGGAUAAAAUAUUUCACAUUGACUAAAAUUAAAUAAUAAACUAUUAAUAUUAAUUAAAAAUUAAAGAUUAAAGUACUACUAUCCCAAAAAAUAUAAUUUUUUUAAAAAUAAAAUUUAAAUUAUAAAAUUGGUAUUAUUUUAUUUUUAAAAAAAAAAAAUUCUACCUCAUCAUAUUAACCCUCUGUUCUUACUUUAUUUAUUUAUCUUAAAUUUUUCUCGUUUUGUGUUACAUAUGUAUAUAUAUAUUUUUAGGAUUUUUUUCUACUUGUGUACCGAAUAUAACAUAAAUAAAAAUUUUAUUUUAAAAAAAGUCUUGUGACGGCAAAUAAAAAAUAUUUUUGAUAUGUAUAUCUAACACAAAACGAGAAAAUUUUUUGGAAGCGGAGGGUUAUGUGGAGUGGGUAGAGUUAUUAUUAUUAUUUUUUAAAAUAAUAUCUAAAUUAGUAUUUGUGGGGGGGGAGGGGGGGGUCGGACGGUUAGAGGAAGUGAUGGAGUGGAUAAGAAAAAUAUUUUACAUUUUAUUUUAUAAAUUUUUUUUUUUUUUGGAUAAUAAUUUUUUAAUCUUUCAUUUUAACUAAUAUCAUUAAUUUAUUUAUUUUUUGUCAAGGCGAAAUGUUUUGUCAUCUGGAGUGUGAUGUGACAAUUUUUUUUAAAUAAAAGAGAGUGUAUUACAUACACCAUGAUGAGAGUGGUAUAAAAGAGAGAGAUGUGUUUCUCAAACUAAUAGGUAAUAGUUUAGGUAUGAAAUUCACACUCUCAAAAAUUUAGGUAUGAAACUAAAAAAAAGGAGAUAGUUUAGGUGUGUUUUUGACGCUUAUCUUUAUUUUUAUUCAUAUAUACACUACCUUCAUGCGUAAAGCUGUCAAAAAGGGCCGGCCCAGCCCAGCACCCAGUCCAAGCCUCGCGAGCCAGGGAAUUUGUAGGGGUAAUGAGGGCCGGUCCAGCCCAAGCCUCGCGGGCCAAGGAAAUUGAAGGGCUAGUGCGGGCCGAGGGCAAUGGCAGGCUAGCCAUUCUUUUUUUUCACUUUUUUCUUUUCAAACUUAUGUUCUAUAACAUCAAAAAAAUGAGAAGAUUUUCAAAUCAAAUAUGGCAAACUAUGGUGUUGUCUCAAUAACACUAACGAAAAAUCUAGUGUAAUUAGCAUAUAUCUCUCAUACCAAAUACUCGAGCGAGAUAAGAAAGUGACAAGCAAGAUGGGAGGGAGGCAAGGGCACGAGAUUUGUCUAUGUAUCCUAGAUACAUGCGAAUCUACUUGGAUAGAGUAUAUCUAGAACAAAUUAACCUAGUUUUGAGUCUAUAUAUUCCGAGAUACAUGUAUUUGGACGUACCAAUCUAGUAAGAUUUAUAAUAUUACAACAUAAGUAUAUUUAAGUAAUUAGAUUAUAUAUUAGUGAGAUUAUUGUAAAUUACCUUUAAAUAAAAAGUUUUGGCCCAUGGACCGACUCCGCCACGAUCCCGAUUAAGCCUCAAGGGAAAAGGGCUUAUAUGGGCCGGGCUUAUAAGCCCUAGUUUUAAAUAGGCUUGAAAAAUUAUAUUCCAACCCUACCCCAAUAACGGGUUGGAUUGGACCGGCCCCAUGGGCUAAACCCAUUUUGACGGCUCUAUUCCUGCGUAAAAGUGUGCAUAAUUACAAGUAAAAAUAAAUUCAAAUUCGUUAAUGCUAAAGUAAAUUAGUUUUCUUAAUUUCUUGUUAAGUAGCACCGUAUCAAUUUAUCAAAAUGAAAAAUAACACACCAAACAAAUGAAUUUAGAAAGAAGACAAUAACACCAAGUCAACAACUAUAAAAAUCCAAAAGAAAAUAGGAUCUGCAUUUAAAAUUUAAAGUCAUUAUUAUAUAGUUAAGGAUACAAACAUAAUUUUAAUAUAAUCUUAUUGAAUUAUGGAUUUAUCAUUAACAAAAAUUUUAAACUGAAAAUUGAAUUAGUAACCUAACCAAAAAAAUACAAAACCAUUUCAAAACUAUUUAACUCAAUAUCGAUAAAUUAAUAAUAUUACAGUUUUAACGGAUUAUUGCGUUAUGCAUUAUUAAAAACUAAAGCCGAAAUAACUGGACAAUUUAUUAUUAUUUUUAUAAAACUAUUUAAAAUUCGUUAAAUAAUAACAAUGAUUCAAUAACAUUUCUUUUUAUUCAAUUUGUUGAUCGGCUUAGGUCCCCCACCACCAACAUGAAUGUGAUUUCAUGUUUUGUCCAUUCUUUCUGUCCGCAUUUACUUUUUUCGCAUUUAUUACUCCCUCAUAUAAAAAAGUGACUUUUAGUGAUAAUUAAUUUUUCUUUUAGCGGUAAUAUUUAUUGCUAUAAAUACAUUUAUCAGUAUUUGAUUAAAUGUCAUUGGACUCAAUGUCGUUAAAGUCUUUAGGGUUUAGAGUUUAGGAUUUAGGGUAAAGACCCUUAUUAUUGCCACUAAAAGUAAUUACUUUUAGUGACAUUUAUUUAGCGGCCUAUACUAUUGCCAUUAAAGCUACCUUAGAUAUAUAGAGAAUUUCACAUCGUUUUUUCAAGCUAAAUAUAGAAGAAAACAAAAUCUGCUAUAUAUAUAUAGAGAGAUUUUUUUAGCUAUGUUUUCCUCAAAGCUAUACGAAGCUAAUUAAAUCAAACUCAAGUUUAUCUUGCUGGGUGCUUACCAAUGAGAAUGAGAGAUUGAGAGAUCGAGAAAGAGAGAUCGAGCGGAAAGAAAGAAAAAGAGAAAUUACCUCUUGUUGCGUGCUUCAGAUCGAGCAUGAAGAAACACAAAUCGAUUUGUGCUUCAAAUCAAAUCCAUCAUAGCCAUGGAAGGAAGCUUCAAAUCAAUCCAGAGCUUCAGAUGAAAACACGGCGUGUUUUUACUUUUAAUAGAUCAAAAGAAAAACAUAAAAAAAAAUCAUAUUUUAUCCUUAAUAUUAAUUAAUUGCUUAUUCCUUAAAUUAUUUCUUAAGAUUAUAUAUAUAUAUAUUCAAAAAAUAAAUAUUACUAAAGAGAAACAACACGAAUAAACUCGAUCUAUUUUGUUUUUCAAUGUUGCGUGAUAUUUCUAAGAUGACAAGUAACAAUUAUCAGUUGUGUGACCAUUAUUGUACUGUGGAUGGAACUGUUCAUUUCUCAAUUAAUUAAAAGUUUUUAGUUUUGAGUAUGUAAAAAUCUCCGAAUAGAGGUUAUGCCGUGCGGAUCCAAAUUAGUCAGCUCGGAUGAAAAAAAAUAAUAAUAAAUCAGUUGCGGCUUUCACGUUUGUACUAGGCCAAUAGCAUGAAUUUUCUACAUAAAUAGUGAUGAAACGCUGCACAGCAAAAACACUCAUCCCAACAAUGGCUUCUUCUAUUCUACCUUUGUGCACUACCAAUAUUCCCUCUUGUUUCUUAGCAAAACCCUCUCAGCUUUUCCUCCACGGAAGGCGUAGUCAAAGUUUCAACGUCUCAUGCAACGCUAAUAACAACUCUAGCGAGCAUGACAAAAAUAACCUUGAUGACGAUGUUGUUGAUAGGAGAAAUGUUCUUUUAGGGUUAGGAGGUCUUUAUGGUGAUGCUAAUCUUGCACCAUUAUCCACUGCUGCUCCCUCACCACCACCUGAUUGUAAAACUUGUAGUACAGCCACUAUAACUAAUGGUCCAGUUCCUUAUAGUUGUUGCCACCCUCCUAUCCCCGUAGAUAUGAGCACCCUUCCAUAUUACAAAUUCCCUCCUAUGAACAAGCUCCGUAUCCGUUCUCAUCUUCCUGAUGAGGAGUAUAUUGCCAAGUACAAUUUGGCAAUUACUCGAAUGAAAGAUCUUGAUAAGACAACCUUUAAACCCUCUUGGGUUUAAGCAACAAGCUAAUAUACAUUGUGCUUAUUGUAACGGUGCUUAUAAAAUUGGUGGCAAAAAGUUACAAGUUCAUAAUUCAUGGCUUCGUCAAGGACUCAAGUUUAUUAUCUUUCUCCACUUGAGUCCUUAACUGAGGUACAACGUAAUUAUUAACAUAAAUAUAAGGAAAAAAGAACGAGUGCUAAGAAUGAUUGCUAACAAGUUUAUGUUAAAGGAAAUGAGCACCCACAACCUUUAAAUCCUGGAUCCGCCACUGAGUUUUAACUCCGAAUGUUGUACUUGUUUUGACUUUUUCUAUUCUUAAUUAGUUUAGGCUGACUAACUUUUUCUUUCUUUUUUAUUUUUAACUUUUCCUAUGCUAAAGUAUUGGUCAAGUCAGAUAUGCAUCAAACUUGACCACUUGUUUAUUUGCUUAUCAAGUUGUUUACACUAUGUGAUUGCUAACAGGUUUAUGUUAAAGGUUUACACUAUGUGAUUGCUUAACAGGUUUAUGUUAAAGGAAAUGAGCACCCACAACCUUUAAAUCCUGAAUCCGCCACUGAGCUUUUACUCCGAAUGUUGUACUUGUGAAGCCAUGAAUUAUGAACUUGUAACUUUUUGCCACCAAUUUUAUAAGCACUGUUACAAUAAGCACAAUGUAUAUUAGCUUGUUGCUUAAACCCAAGAGGGUUUAAAGGUUGUCAUAUCAAGAUCUUUCAUUCGAGUAAUUGCCAAAUUGUACUUGGCAAUAUACUCCUCAUCAGGAAGAUGAGAACGGAUACGGAGCUUGUUCAUAGGAGGGAAUUUGUAAUAUGGAAGGGUGCUCAUAUCUACGGGGAUAGGAGGGUGGCAACAACUAUAAGGAACUGGACCAUUAGUUAUAGUGGUUGUACUACAAGUUUUACAAUCAGGUGGUGGUGAGGGAGCAGCAGUGGAUAAUGGUGUAAGAUUAGCAGCACCAUAAAGACCUCCUAACCCUAAAAGAACAUUUCUCCUAUCAACAACAUCGUCAUCAAGGAUAUUUUUGUCAUGCUCGCUAGAGUUGUUAUUAGCGUUGCAUGAGACGUUGAAACUUUGACUACGCCUUCCGUGGAGGAAAAGCUGAGAGGGUUUUGCUAAGAAACAAGAGGGAAUAUUGGUAGUGCACAAAGGUAGAAUAGAAGAAGCCAUUGUUGGGAUGAGUGUUUUUGCUGUGCAGCAUUUCAACAAUAUUUAUGUAGAAAAUGCAUGGUACUGGCCUAGUACAAACGUGAAAGACGCAACUGAUUUUUUAUUAUUUUUUUUUAUCCGAGCUGACUAAUUUGGCAUAACCUCUAUUCGGAGAUUUUUUCAUACUCAAAACUAAAAACUUUUAAUUAAUUGAGAAAUGAACAGUCCCAUCCACAAUACCAUAAUGGUCACGCAACUGAUAAUUGUUACUUGUCAUCUUAGAAAUAUCACGCAACAUUGAAAAACAAAAUAGAUCGAGUAUAUUCGUGUUGUUUCUCUUUAGUAAUAUUUAUUUUUUGAAUAUAUAUAUAUAUAAUCUUAAGAAAUAAUUUAAGGAAUAAGCAAUUAAUAUUAAGGAUAAAAUAUGAUUCUUUUUUUUAUGUUUUUCUUUUGAUCUAUUAAAAGUAAAAACACGCCGUGUUUUCAUCUGAAGCUCUGGAUUGAUUUGAAGCUUCCUUCCAUGGCUAUGAUGGAUUUGAUUUGAAGCACAAAUCGAUUUGUGUUUCUUCAUGCUCGAUCUGAAGCACACAACAAGAGGUAAUUUCUCUUUUUCUUUCUUUCCACUCGGUCUCUCUUUCUCGAUCUCUCAAUCUCUCAUUCUCAUUGGUAAGCACCCAGCAAGAUAAACUUGAGUUUGAUUUAAUUAGCUUCAUAUAGCUUUGAGGAUAAUAUAGCUAAAAAAAAUCUCUCUAUUUAUAGCAGAUUUUGUUUUCUUCUAUAUUUAGCUUGAAAAACGAUGUGAAUUCUCUAUAUAUCUAAGGUAGCUUUAAUGGCAAUAGUAUAGGCCGCUAAAUAAAUGUCACUAAAAGUAAUUAUUUUUAGAGGCAAUAAUAAGGGUCUUUACCGGCAUUCGAUAUAAAUGUUACUAAAGGCUUUAACGAUAUUGAAUCCAGUGACAUUUAAUCAAAUACUGGUAAAUGUAUUUAUAGCAAUAAAUAUUAUUGCUAAAAGAAAAAUUAAUUAUCACUAAAGGUCACUUUUGAUGCGGGGAGUAAUAAAAGCGAAAAAAGUAAAUGCGGACAGAAAGAAUGGACAAAACAUGAAAUCACAUUUAUGUUGGUGGUGGGGGACCUAAGCCAAUCAACAAAUUGAAUAAAAAGAAAUAUUAUUGAAUCAUUGUUAUUAUUUAACGAAUUUUUAAUAGUUUUAUAAAAAUAAUAAUAAAUUGUCCAGUUAUUUCGGCUUUAGUUUUUAAUAAUGGAUAAAGCAAUAAUCCGUUAAAACUGUAAUAUUAUUAAUUUAUCGAUAUUGAGUUAAAUAGUUUUGAAAUGGUUUUGUAUUUUUUUUGUUGGGUUACUAAUUCAAUUUGUUGGGUUUUAAAGGUGUGAACAGGAAAUGAAGGGUUAUGACUCUCCUGAAGAGUUGUAAACUUUAUGAAAGGUUGUGUCCUUUCUAAAGGACUGUGACCGUUUGAAAGGUUAUGCCUUUUCCAAAGUGUUGUGACCUUUCUGAAAGGUUGUCUUCUUUCUGAAAGGUNNNNNNNNNNNNNNNNNNNNNNNNNNNNNNNNNNNNNNNNNNNNNNNNNNNNNNNNNNNNNNNNNNNNNNNNNNNNNNNNNNNNNNNNNNNNNNNNNNNNNNNNNNNNNNNNNNNNNUUCUUUUGCAUACAUUUCUUACAAAACAAAAUCGAUCGAUCGUGUCUGUGUGUGUGAUUCGUUGCUGUCAUUUUGAGUUCGUUGAAAUUAUCGAAGUUUGAGGUACCGCUACUUCUUUAAUGGUUAAUCCGUUUUAUCUUGGGAGGAAUUAAUCUGCAACCUCGGGUGUUUGAGGGGAUUAAAUUUCUUAAGGACACACAGUGGGUUCUGUGGACUCGGAUAGUUCUUUGUGUUUUUCCUUUCAUCUUUUAUUAUUUCUGGUUUGCUAAUCUGAAUAAAGGAGAUAACACAAUUUUCAGUUUUAAAAUUUUAGUUAAUGAUAAAUCCAUAAUUCAAUAAGAUUAUAUUAAAAUUAUGUUUGUAUCCUUAACUAUAUAAUAAUGACUUUAAAUUUUAAAUGCAGAUCCUAUUUUCUUUUGCAUUUUAUAGUUGUUGACUUGGUGUUAUUGUCUUCUUUCUAAAUUCAUUUGUUUGGUGUGUUAUUUUUCAUUUUGAUAAAUUGAUACGGUGCUACUUAACAAGAAAUUAAGAAAACUAAUUCACUUUAGCGUUAACGAAUUUGAAUUUAUUUUUACUUGUAAUUAUGCACACUUUUAUGGAGGAAUAGAGCCGUCAAAAUGGGCUUAGCCUAUGGGGCCGGCCCAAUCCUACCAGUUAUUGGGGUAGGGUUGGGUAGGUAAUGUGAUAAAAUACUUACAUCAAUAAUUAUUUGUUUAAUGGAAUUGUCAUAUCAAACAGUGACCAGGGGCGGAGCUAGGUGGAGUUCAUGGGUUCGGACGAACCCACUAGCUUUUUCGUAGACCUAUAUUUGUAUUAGAAAAUUAAAUAAACAUAUGUAUAUUAACUUGUGAACCCCCAAACAAAUUGAUUUAGAACCCCAAACUCCUAACAUUGGCUCUGUCUCUGACAGUGAAGUAAAAAUGAAGAAAGGAAACAUUUAGGUAUUCACAUUCUUUUCAAACAAGUUUCUCUAAAUGACAAAAAUCACGAGCAUUACCUUUAUGUUGUCCUUGCGUUGAUGGCAAGUCCCACACACAAGGGACCAGAUCAAAGAAGUAAACACAUACUUUCUUUCCAGAAAAAAGUUUUGAAAAUAUUUCUAAAUUUAGCAUGAAUUAUUAGUUUCAUCUUUAAAUUAUAGUUAGGCUUAAAAAUGUUUCUUUACUUGACUAACUGAAUUUAAGUACAUCAUCGAUCUUGCAGUAUGAGUGAAAUACACCUCUAAAUUCUCACCAAGUUUAGGGAUGUUGUCAAUGCUUCUCUCGAUUUUUUAUUAAGAGUCUUAUGCUCUUACAUGAGUUUAGGACUAUUUGCUAUGUCAUGUUGCCAAUCGAGAGUGUAUAUAAGUUUAAUUAGUCAAACAAAAGAAUAUUUUUAAGACUAUCAAUAAUUUCAUGAAUAAAACUAAUGAUUUACGCCAAGCUCAAGAUGUUUUCGAUAGUUCAAUACUUUUGUCCUUGAGUUGAUUGCGAAGAAGGUAGUCUAGGACUACCCUAAGCCUAGAAGAGAAGUAGGCAGGACUUUCAGUUACAAUAAUGUCUAGGUUGGGCAAGCCUCAAAGGCGGCCCCUUUCUUUCCUCGGACCGAUGACUCGCUUGUUCAGUACUGCUAACUAUUAUAGGAGGUCCCACACACAAGGAACCAGAUCAAAGAAGUACACACAUAGUUUCUCACGACCAUAAAAUUGAAUAAAACGAGUAUUGAACUAUGAGUCCUUAAAUAAAGGUUUUAUCAACUCCAAGGUAAUGUAUUGCAAAUACAUGGCUGACCUUUUAUCAAGUAGAAUUAAUUUUUAAUUUUAGAUUACUAUAUGAGGUUAAAUAAAGGUUUUAUUAUGUCAUCUAAAAAUACUAUAUUCAAAGCAAUAAGUACAUAAAAAAAAUAUAACUCUAAUUUAUUUAUUUUUUAGUGGAUGUGUAUAUAGUUAAGACUUCGUAUUAAAAUUUUAUUUAUGCCACUAAUUUUAUUGAGACGCUCAAUUAUUUGAAUUUCCAAAUAGUAGUCUUGACAAUAUGCAUAAAAAUAUGAUAUUCUUGAUAAUUACUUUAAGUACCUGAGUAUUUCUAACUUUAUAUCAAGAGGAGUUUAGAAACGAUGCAUGCGUAAUUAUCUGUCCGAAUACAUAUGUAACUUUUUAAACCUGUAUGUAUUAGUAGUAAUUAUAUUGUCAUCCCUACAACCUUUAACCAUAAUUUAGCUAAUUGCAUGAACUGUGAUUUUUUUUUCCUUUUAUAGAAACCAUCCGCCAAGAUUUGAUCACCUUUUCGGGGGUGAAGGUUUGGUCUGGAACCCUACCUUAUGUAUUUUUUAAACAAAAGAAUAAAAGAAGGGAUCAAACAUUACCUCUCGUUACAAGGGAAUAUGAAGGAAGGGGGAAAAAACUUCAAUUUAAAGAUAGCUAAGAUAGACAAAAGACUCUAUCAUUUAUGUAAAAUGGAGAGAUAUUCAGAGUUUGAUUACACAAUUUAUUCUCAAUUUUAAAACUAAGCAGCAUCUCCCUAAAUCAAAACAAAAUGAAUGAUCAGAGAAGAUUAAAAGUCCAACAUUUUUGUUGCCAAUAAAUUAAAUAAAAUUACUUCUAAAAGUCAUAUUUUUAAUAAAUAUUAAUUUGUGAUAGUUAUUACAUAUAAUGACCACAGUAAAUAUUUUAAUUUCCUUUUUAGCAUUCAUUUUUGUUGUCAGUAAAUGUAAAUAAUUGUCUCUAGAAGGCCACUAGAUUUAACAAGUAUGGUUUAGACACUAAUGACAAUGGCUACUAAAUUCUUUUAGAAAAAUGAUCUAAGUUGCUAAUAAAUUUAAUCAAAAUGUUAGUAAAAGGGAGCCUUUUAGUGGCAGCAAAAUUUAGAAAAUGCUAAAAAAAUAAAUAUAAAUCACUAUUAAUUCAUAAAAACAUAAUAUGUCCCUUUAGCUCUAACAAACAAAAGAAAAUACUAAUCCAAAAUGUUACUGUAACAAGGUUAACAACGGUGAAAAUAAAUCUUUGACAUUUAAAAAUGCAUAUUUUCAUAAGAUGAAAAAUAUGUAUUAAUGGAACAUUUACUCAUAGUUAUCACAUUAUUUAGUGAAAUCAUACUUACGAACGUAUGUUAGUUAAAAAGGAGGAAAGUAAUAAAAAGGGCAAUAAAAAUGUAGUUCAUAUAGAAUACAUAUGCAUCCUAUUAAUACAUGAAUCAUAGUAAUUAGUUGUAAUGCAAAAAACAUUUUACAAUAAAAAUCUCUACAUAAGUUCUCAGUUAAUCCUGACAAAAAAAAUACCAAAGUCUUUCGAUGCAUGAAGAAUUAUUAUUUUCAUUUCAAAUAUUGGAAGUGCGUUAUAAUUACCUGAAUAUAUAAAUGUUUUGAAAAUUAAUACUCCAAUUUAAGAAUAUGAAUGGAGUCUCUCGAUGUCUCUAAAUACUCCUGAAUUGAAUUUCUCUAGAUACAAGUGACAGAUAUCAUUUUAUUAAAUGAUUUGAAUUUAAAUUAAAUAAAUCCAUAUUGUUAACUUUUUAAUACUAACAGUAUAUAAAAUAUAAACUCAAAAAAUAAGGGUGCAAAACUACAAAGUUAUAAAUGCACAAUAAUGCCAAUAACUUAAAUCUGAAAUAUGUGAAAUUUAUGAAAAAAAAUAUAGAAAAAGUUACAUGAAUUGUCAAACAUAGAUAUUUUUGCGACAAUUAAUUUAUAAAAAAGAUUACACAGGAUAAAGAGAAUACGUGAGAGAUUCGAACAAACAUUAAUGAUAAUUCAACCCUCGAGAAAUUCAAUGGCCACACUUUGGAUGGAGAUCACAUCUCCACCGUUUUUAGGAACCACAGUUACCGUAAUGGUAUCAUCGUCUUCAAGUCCAAUGUCCUCUAAAAGUUUGGUAAUGUCUAGCUGAAACGUCUCACCAUAAUCCAUUUUCUUAUUAUGUGCAUGAACAUGGGGCAAGUUGGCAUAGCUCCCCGCGAACUCCACCUUAUCAAGCUCAUUUGUAUAAUUGUAUUCACGUUCUCUUCCUCGUUGAGGAACACAUCAAAACUUAUAUAUUUGCUAGUAUCAUACUUUAAACCCUUGAAUAUUAGCACCUCUUCUUUUUCGUCUUUAUCCUUUUGACUCCUUGACGUAGUUGGCCUAUUGAUGGAAAACGAAAUGGGUUUGUUGAGGUUAGCAAUUGGGAAUACCUUGUUUGCUGGCUCAAUGUUUGUUAAAUCCACUUUUCCUUCUCUCCCCUUUCUUGUUGGCCUACAGUUGAUCCAUGGGAGGGCUGCUGGCACGUAAUCAUAACCCAUCUUCUUCGUAUCCAAACAGUCUCCCACUCUCACACGGUAAGGCCUUUGGUGUUCAUCGUAGAAAAAGAAUUCGGAGUUCAACCAAUCUGUGUCUGUGAUAUCCCUUUUUUUCCCGCCUAAUCCUUUCCAUAUAUUCCACAUUGGCGUGGUGGCUAUAGAAAACCGGGUCUAAACUUCACCGAAUGACAGUUUACCACCACCCAAAUCUGUAUUUCUGACAGUACCAGCCCAAAUGUGGACCGAAGUAUGAGGGAUGUUUUCAAUAGUUCCCAGAUCAUUAUUCUCAAGGACGUAACGAGCACCAAAGAAUUGCAAAGGGCAUGCAGCAUUAGUUAUCAUUGAACGGUACAUAAGAGUUAAGUUGUUAGUCACCGUCUUUUUAACAUCAGUAGUAACUUCGUCACUAGGAGAACUAAAAUCGAUUAUGGUUCCAUUUCCACACGUCUUGCAUCAUAAAGGGGAGUAUUUCACGAUCGAACAUGGGAGGUAAACGCAUACGCUUUGGAUGGUCCCAAUUCCAAUAUGGUAAAGCGAAAGUUGGAUCAUCAAUGAGUUAGUUUUCCCAAUAUUCUCUCGUAGAAGUACAAGUACCAUCUAUGAAACGGAAAGAAAAGCCAAUUGAAAUGAACUUGUAAAACAUCAUCACCAAAUUUGUAAGCACCGUUGCAAUAAGCACAAUGGAUAUUGGCUUGUUGCAUGAAUGAACGAGGGUCCUUUUUAUCCAGGUCUAUCAUUCUUUGAGUGGCCAAUUGGUACUUUGCAGUAUAUUCCUCAGUCACGUCUUGAGCAACGGGACGUUGUUUACGAAGCUUAUAUAUGGGAGGAAACUUGUAAUAUGGAAUGUUGUUCCAGUCAUCUGGUGUAGGAGGGCAACAAGUAUAUCCUACUUCUUCUGUACUCUGCGUUUUUAUGGCUUUACCACACGAUUUGAGAUUAGGUGCCGGUAUAGGAGAAGCAGAGGCUAAUGGUGCAAGAUUGGAAGCACCAUAAAGUCCUCCUAAACCAAGAAGCACAUUUCUCCUUGCAUGAGACAUGGAAACUUUGGCUACGCCUUCUCUGCCGAGAAGAUUUUGCAAAGAAAGACGAGUGUGUAGUAAUAAUGAGAGUUUUGCUACUCUGCUCACCAAGACUUAAACAUAGAAUUAAUGGAACAAGAAGAAGCCAUUAUUGAGAUGACUGACAAUUGUUCUCAUUCCUAUCAUCUAUAAAUAUAGACUAAUAGAAAUAAUCAUAAAGUUACAUAAAAACAAAAAACAAAAAUGUGUAACCGCUAAAGAACAAACAUGUGAUAUUUAGAUAGAAUCAAUCUAUCCGUAUUAUAUGUACGGACACGAUAAAGAACACUGAUUUCAAUAAGUUUGAGAUAUUCAAGAUAGAAUCUAUCUAUAUUGUGUACGAAUGAUAAAAAAACAGUCAUCCAUCCAGUAAGCUAGCUUGAUAUAUUCAAGAUAGAAUCUAUCUAUAUUGUGUGCGCGGAUGAUAAAAAAAACAGUCAUCAGUCCAGUAAGUUUGAGAUAUUCAUGAUAGAAUUUAUCUAUAAUGUUAUAUCAGAUUAUAUUCCAUCCAACUUUAGUGUAAGAUUUGUGCUUAAACUAAGCAACCUAAUUAGAAUAACAUGCUGAAUUAUUAGAGUAAAUCCAUACUAUUUUUUAUGAGACUUGAAACAAACAUGAUUAGAGGUGCCAAAUACAUUUAUAGAUGAUUUCUCUAGAUAUACAAAAGUAGAUUUUUUAAGAAAUAAAUAUAAAGCUAUGAUAUAUUUAUUCUUAAAGUAGGAAAAAUAAGUUUUAUAAGUAAUUUUGUAUGUUUAUUGUAUCCUUCCCACUCACUCCACCUCUUGACCGCCACCACCCCACUGCCUACCCUUUCUACUCGAUAGUGUUUUAUUAAACUACAUAUAAAUACUUUUUAAAUAACAUUUUUUUUGCUUAAUUACUUACCAAACACAGAAAAUAACUAAGAAACCAACUUGUUCUCCAUGAUAAAUAUUCUUCUUCCUACCAAACACACCCAUAAAGCUGUUUGGAGUGUCUAACUCAAAUGGUAAGUUUUUGCUCAUCAAUGAUAUAAUUAAUGGACACGAAGUUUAAAUUUUAAAAAUCUUGAAAAGGAUAACAUGAAAAACGUUAAUUCAAUGGGUCUCCAAUUUUUUUUUAAAAUUAAAUUAUGGGUUUAAGAGAUCAUGUUACUGUCUAUUUAUCUAAUUGUAAAUUUACAAAAAACAAAAAGGAGAGGACAUUGACCUAACUUCCCAUAUUUAUCCACGCUACACCAAAAAUGAUCUUUAGCGGCAAUUAACACUCUUUGUAAAUGUCUCUAAAAUCUAUAGCGACAUUGAAUCUAAUGACAAUUAACUAAUACCGGUAAAAACUUUAACAUUCUUUGUUAAUGUAGAUAUUUAUUGUCGCUGAAAGUUGCUUUUGUUGUAGUGUAAAAAAUAAUGUGAUUUAAAAACAUAAAAUAAAAAUACAAUUUUUGGAGAAGAAUAAAUAUUUAUUAUGGAGGAUAGAAUAUGGAGAAUAAUAAAAAAUCUUUAUUUGGAGAAGCAUAAUUUUUAACUAAGCCAGAUAUUAUCCCGAUUCCCGAGAACAAUAAACUAAGAUUUGUGGGUCUUUUGUUUUGUUAAUAGUGAAUUAGUGAUUAUACCUUGUAAUUAUAGAUUGACUAAGUGCAAUGAUGAAUCAAAUUAAAUGGAUUGAAAAUAUUUUUAACCUUUCUUCGUUUUAAUUAAAAAUAAUAGUUUUCCACGUUUUUGUUGUGGCAAAGAAAAAGACAAGUUCAUAGUUGUCUUUUUCUAAGAAAUCCAUACUAAUUUUUAUGAGACUUGAAAUUCAUAGUGCACUCUUGUGGACACUAUUAAUUAUCAUAGAUUUUUCCACCUUAGGUUUUGUGUUAUUAUUUUUUUUAAAUAAUUUUUUAUUGCAUUGAACAAUUAGAUAACACAUUUUAAGAAAUUCUUUUGCUCUUCCCUAUGAUGAAUCUACCAAAUAUUUUUUGAAUGAUACGAUUUUAACCUAAUCUUUUUAUACCAAAUAUUUUUUGAAUGAUACGAUUUUAACCUAAUCAUUUUAUCUGAACAGGCGAACAUAACAAGUAAUGAAUUAGUACACUCAAUUAGGUGCAGUGUGAUAGUUUGCUCUCAUAAAAACUAUAAAAUUAAAUUGUUCCGCUAGAACAAUAGCAAAUAUAUACUCGUUACUCAGAUGUGAAGCUAGUAAAACGUUGACUUUAGGACCUCAAAUAUUGAAGCCUCAAAAUUCUUUUGAUAAUAAAUUUAUGAUUUUAUUUUCACUUAAAACAAAAUUGAGGAUCAUAAUAAAAAAGGUUCAAAUUAGUUAAGUAUUAAAAGGACAGCAAGAAAAACUAUCUAUGGUUUAUCAAAAAUAUUUUAGAACUUGAAUUAAGUAAUAACUUAAAUUAUCCUAUUAAUAAGUAAAGUUCUUACAAUAAUAUCCAAGGUAAUGAAUUGCAAAUACAUGGCUAAUCUUUUAUUAAGUAGGAUUAAUAUUUAAUUUUAUAUUUCUAUAUGAGGUUAUAUAUAGGCCUUACUAUAUCAUCUAAAAAUAUUACAUUAAAAGCAACAAGUAUAUAUAAAAAAUAAAAAAAUAUAACUCUUAAUUUUUAUUUUUUUGUCUAUUUAUAUAUAUAUACUAAAGACUUCUUAUUAAAAUUUUAUUUUAUGCCACUAAUUUUUGAUAAAACGUCCAUUGAAGAAAUGAUGAAGACCUUCUAGAUCAUUCUUAGAGCUUAACAGAGAGAGUAAAUAACUGCUUGUGUGUAUUGAUUAGAAUGAAUACAGAAUGAAUGUACAUUUAGUGUAUCUACUACUAUUUAUAGAAUGACUAACUAACUGAUUAGUCUAACUAACUACUACAUAAUCUGUUAUAACAAAAUUCCAGUAAUACAAUUACUAUUUCAUCCUUUCUCUACAAUCAUCUCAACAUCCCCUUCAAGCUAGAUGUUGUAAACACAUUCAAGACUCCUAGCUUGGACAGUAGAUGAUAAUGUUGACAGCUUCCAAGUCCUUUUGUCAGCAAGUCUGCUUCCUGCUCAGUUGUUAAGACAUACUCUGGAUGUAUCAAACCUUGUUGCACCUUCUCCCUUAUAAAAUGACAAUCAAUCUCUAUAUGCUUUGUCCUCUAGGAAACACUGGAUUAUUUGCUAUUUGCAUGGCUGACUUACUACCUGUAAACAGCUGAAUUGGUGUAGGAACAUCAACACCUACACAUUUGAAUAAAUCAAUCAGCCAAAUCAACUCAGACACUGUUAAAGCCAUACUUCUGUAUUCUGAUUCUGCUAAACAACUAGCUACAGUGUUUUGCUUCUUGGAUUUCCAUGAUAUCAAGGAUUGACCAAGCUUCACAGUGUAACCAGUUACAGACCUUCUUGAGUUAGGACAACGUGCCCAAUCAGCAUCACAAAAUACUGUCAAAAUACCUUUUCCUUCUGCAUGCAUUAGAACACCAAGUCCUGGCUCAUUUUUGAGAUAUCUGACCACCCUGUGUGCUACUUCUAAAUGAGACUUCUUAGGAUCCUGCAUGAACUGGCUUAAAGUUUGAACACUAUAGGCAAUGUCAGGCCUAGUUAGUGUCAAAUAAAGUAGUUUUCCUAUCAACAUUUGAUACCCUCUCACAUUUGGCAAAUGUGGAUCAUUUUCCAGACCACCACAUUGUUGAUCAUAUUCCAAGCUUGUUAGCUUCUGAUUUUGCUCAAGUGGUGUAAGUGUUGGCUUGCAGCCACCCAAACCCAACUCAGCUAUAAGCUCCAGAGUGUACUUUCUUUGACAUAAUAAAAUACCUUUCUUAGACCUGCAUAUUUCUAUUCCCGAAAAAUACUUCAAUGGUCCAAGAUCCUUGAUCUUGAAGGCUGCAUGUAACACACAUUUUGCCUCUUGUAUAAGGUCCUUGUCAUCUCCAGUAAUCAACAAGUCAUCAACAUAAACAAUGAUAAUCACCUGUCUAGAAUUUCUUUUCAAAACAAACAAGGAAUGAUCCUGUUGACUUUGAAUAAAACCAGCUGACAAUAGUGUAUUUGUGAUCUUCAAAUUCCACUUUCUAGAGGCUUGCUUGAGGCCAUUAAGAGAUUUGAGGAGUCUACAUGCCUGAUCACCCCCUUGACUACCAAAUCUUGGAGGAAACUGCAUAAACACCUCUUCCUUAAGGUCACCUUGCAAAAAGGCAUUAUACACAUCCAUUUGAAACAAGGGUCAUUGGUGCAUAGCAGCCAAAGCAAUGACAGCUCUCACAAUUACCAUUUUGACUACUGGGGAAAAUGUUUCUUAAUAAUCUAAGCCUUCUUGUUGAUUGUACCCUUUAGCAACAAGUCUGGAGUUAAAUCUCUCAAUUGCACCAUUAGAUUGAUACUUGAUAUUGUAUACCCACCUACAACCAAUAGGUUUCUUGCCUUUAGGAAGAGGAACAACCUCCUAAGUGUGAUUUUGAACCAGUGCAUCAAUCUCUGAUUGCAUAGCAGAAAUCCACCUAGGAUCCUUUAAGGCUUCUUCAUAGGAAGUAGGCUCCACUUCAGAUGAAAUAGCAACCAGGAAGGACUGACAUUUGGAAGAAUGACCAGAGUAGUCGAUAAACUUGGACAAAGGAUAUAAACAAGCAACAUUCCCCUUAACAUGAUGGACAUAAUCCUGAAGCCAAGUUGGAGGCCUGGUACCUCUAGUGGACUUCCUUAACUGAGGUUGUGAGGAAAGAUAAGGAUCAGAUAUAGAAGGGGUAGGACAAGACUCAACUGGUGGUGAGAUGAGAGACAAAUCAGCGGAUAAAAGAGAUGUGAUAGAAUCAGUAGGUGCAGGAUUUGAAGGCAUAUUAUCAGGACUAGAUAGAUCAAAGAACAUAGGAGUAUUGUGUUUUCUGGUUUUCAGUAACAAGAAAGGGAAAACAUGUUCCUUGAACACAACAUCUCUACUGACAAAGAACCUCCUAGAGUUGAAAUCAUGCAGUUUGUAGGCCUUUUGUGUGGAGGAGUACCCUAUGUGGACUGCAGGAAUUGCUCUAGGGGAGAACUUGUCUACUUCGGAUGGGACAGUGGCAAAACACAAACAUCCAAGAACCCUGAGAUGAGAAAGACAUGGAGUAUGACCAUGGAAAACCUCAUAGGGAGACUUCCCAUUUAGAACCACUGAUGGUAACCUAUUAAUGAGAUAUAUUGCUGCCAGUACACAGUUACCCCAAAAAGAAAUAGGAGAGUACCUUAAAACCUGACUGCCCUUGCCACCUCUAGAAUGUGUCGAUGUCUCCUUUCCACCACUCCAUUUUGUUAUGGAGUGUGUUGGACAACUACUCUGGUGUCCAAUACCAUGCUUGACCAAGAAUUCUGAGAACUCCUUAGUAAAAAACUCAGCACCAUUAUCAGUCCUGAUCAUUUUCACCUGCUUGGUAAACUGAACAUGAACCAUUUUGACAAAGGAUUGUAGUAACACAAAUGAAUCACUUUUGAGUUUCAUUAAAAAGACCCAAAUCAUCUUGGAAUGAUAAUCCACAAUAGUGAGAAAGUACCUAUGACCAGUAAUAAUAGGGACUCUAUAAGGACCCCAUACAUCAAUGUGUAAUAAAUGGAAAACAUCAGUUGCUAUGGAAAUACUAAGAGGAAAUGGUUUUCUGGUUUGUCUAGGUAAGGGACAAACAGUACAAUCAUUAAAACUACAAAGUGGCACUUUAUUUCUGUAGGAAAUGUAGCUUCUUUAUGACAACAGCAGGUACAUGACCCAGCCUCUUAUGCCAAACUUGCACAUCUUUAGACAAUUUUUUUGUAACAUUGCUGCUAGCAUUUACCCUUUUAUCAACAACCUUCUCAGAAGUCCUAGGAAGUAGGAAAUAGAGACCUCCUUUCUCUUUACCAAUCCUGUAACAUCUCACAAUUUGAAAUAACUAGGAAGAAGCUUAUAAUUGGAAAUAGUCAUUUUUUAAAAGAAUUAAAAUCUGGAUAUUUGUUUUAAGUUAGGAAAAGUUGAGUUUUGGUCAACUUCAAAAGGCAAUAAUUCCUAGCUCAGGAUGAGUUAGGUGUACUUCCAGAUAUGGUUGCAAAGCUCUUGGAAGUAUCUUUCCAACGCCGCCGAGUUUGCACAAAUCCGAGUUCGUAUGAGUGAGUUAUACCCUUUGGAAGUUGGGCUAUUGGAAUAAGGAAAGUCCAAUCCGGAUUUUUAUAGAGUAGUUUGGUCUUUUCCUUAACCUUUUAUUUAAUUCGUUUUUUGGGUAAUUAAUGUGGGAUCUAAGCUGAAUUAGAUCAGUUUACACUUUUACCAAAAGAGUUAGGGUUUGGAGAGAAAACAAAAGAAGAGGAGAAAGGAGAAGAGGAAGCAAGAACGUUCAGGAUUCGUCGAUUUCUUGGAGCUUUGCUCGUGGAUUUCGUCAGGGGGAUCCCUACAAGGUAUGUGAGAUCACAUAGCGUUGGGUUAGUUCACCCACGCGCCAAGCAUGUUUAAAUUCAGCGUAUUUUCGUCCUAAAAAGAUUGAGAAUUUGAUGUUCUUGAUAGUUGUUCUUGAAUUGAUUUCGUUCUUGAACAUGAGUUGGGAUUAAGGAGUUUCUUGAUGAUUAAGUGUUGUUUCUUUAAGUUGUUGGGUUAGAUUUUGUGUAUAUGAUAUGGGUACAUGAAUCUAAAGUGAAUUUCAAAAAAAGAAUCGAAUUCAAAUGAUUUAGGAUCAGAAAACAAGAUCAAUAGGUCGUUAGAAUUUUGCCUGAAGGGAGGCUGGCGCGACGCGCCCCCAUAGCGCCAGGCAGGCUGGGGCGGCGCGCCAACAGUGCGCCAGAUUUGAGCCCCAGUAAGUUGGGGCUGGCGCGGCGCUCCCAAGAUGCGCCCAAAUCAUUGUUUUCACCAGUUUUCGUCGUUUAGCCUAUUUAAGUCCUUCUAAAGUGUAUUAACACUUCCUAUUGAUUCUAACUACUCUAAAUGACUUCUAAACAUCUAGAAAUCAUCCAAAAACAUGAAUCAUAGCUUUGAAUCCAUAAAUUCAAAUUCAAGAAAAGUUAAGAGCCAAGUUUAGGAAGUUCUUCGAGUCUUUUCAAGAAGUCUUUUGCAAAUGCUUUUUAAGACUUACAGUUCAAGUUGAGUAAAGAUAUAAGUUCAUUUCUUCAAAAGUAUAUGGGGACUAAGUAUUCCCAAAGAGAUUUAAAAUAUUUUUACAUUUAAAUAAGAACGGAAACUGAGAUUUUCAAAGAGUCUUUGGCCUAGUUUUCAGAAAAGAGAAAUAGCUUUCUAAAUGAAGCAAGCAGGGAAACUAAGAUUUCUGAGAUAGCUUUUGAGCUAAGUUUUUGAGCACUAAUCUCAAAUCAUAGAAGAAGUAUGUUUUUAAACAUAAAGAACUAAGUAUUUUUGGGAGUAGUAUUGAGCACCGAUAUGGGAUGCGAGUUUAUAUUAACUCAAGUCUCCAUAAACCAUGUAGACAUCAUGGGUAGAAAAGGGUCAUACUUUUUAGAUGAAUCAUUUUCGCAUAGACUAGUGGAUCCACUUAGUGAGUUAGCUUCCUAUAUCACGGCAAGGUAUAGGAUGGGCCUCGGCAGCGUGAUGUAAACCGUUAUAUCAUCACUAUAGUUCUUAAGUGAUGGUUGUCGGUUAGAGAAACUCCCACAAUAGUAGUAGCAUGGUUCCUCACGGGGUUCUACUUAGCAUGAAUGGGGGUAUGGGACUUCAUUCAUGCAUUGCACAAGUAGACUUUGGAGAGGGAGCAUGGUUUGUCUUUUUUAUGAUAUUAUGAUUAUGAAUUGACAACAUGUUUUUCAACAGUUUUUAUUUAUAUUGCACUUGUUUUAAACUUCUUUAUAAUGAAAUGAGUUUAUUUAAGUAUUCAAGAGUUGAGAAGAGCCAAGGUAAGUGUUUCUUUCAUAAUCUCUUUCGAGCCUAUGUUGUUUUAGCAUUCCAACUCGAAUACUCGUACAUUCAAUGUACUUAUGCCAAUUGGCCUGUAUCGUCUUAUGAUGCAGACACAGGUAACUAAGAUCGGCAUCCGGCUCAUUCGUUGAUCCAGUGAGCAGUUCAGAGUCUGUUGGUGAGCCUCUUUGCAUUCCAGAGGACUCCUUCACAUUGUUUUCAGUUUUAGUAUUAGUUCAUUAGGAUGUCGCGGGCCUAUUCCGACAUCCACCUUAGUUGUUUAGAGGCUUCAUAGAUAGUCAGACAGUCAGUUAGUAAAUUCAGCUGUCUUUAAUUUUUAUUUCAUAUGUUAAGACUUGAGUUGCCAUUUUGGCCAAGUUGAAUGUUGACUAUUAAACAUUCUAAGUUAUUUCAUUAGUUAGAUUGAGUAGUAUGCUAUUGAUCUUUAUAAAUAUGCAUAUAGUCUUUCGCUGAGUUAGUAAUCCAGGCCAAGUGUUCGCUUGAGGCCAGCAAUGGUCUUCAAGUGCCGGCCAUGUCCAGGGUGUAGGCUCGGGGCGUGACGAAUCCCCCUCACUUUCCCAGUACAUAGGUCCUGGAAAACACAAAAAUAUGGAAAAAAGAGCACUGAGCAUUGCAAUUCUUUUGUCAUCUUUGAGACUGACAUCAGAUUGUAUUUGAAGUCAGGCACUUACAACACAUUUUCAAUGGUACAAUCAUUUGAAAUAUGACAUAUGCCUUGAUACUGAACUGACACAUUCUUACCAUUUGGCAUAAGUACACUACUUUUUAUGAGAUCAUGCAUAUUACUCAAGUUAUUCAGCAAAUCCAGAUUAUUAGUCAUGUGAUCUGUUGCUCAACUGUCUACUAUCCAGGGCUUACAAGCCUGUAUAGAAGAUGAGUUAUAGAAAGCAUUACCUGCCAUGCUCCCAGCCAGCUCUACUCCCUUGUUGUCAAGCAUAUUCAUUAUCUGAUUAUAUUGGUCAUCUGUGAAGUAGUUUUGUCCUUUGCUGCCAUCAUGCUCAACUCUUGAAUGACAUUGAGACCUUUGAACAGUACCACCACAAUUGUUUUCGGCAUGCUGUGUGAAGUUGGCUCUCUGAAGGGUAUGGUUGUUGCUUGCAGGCAUUAUGAGAACCAUUAGAAGAUCCUCCAGCAUUCCCUUUGUGCUGAAUAUUAUCUUAUUUGUCACUAACAUAAUCAUAUGCAGACAUAUUUGCUUGUCUUGAUGGUCCCCAAUUGUUCUCUCCCAUGACAUUGUGGUUAAGUUUGAUUAGUGGUUUUUUCUUUCCCCUGUAGCCUGGUGGAUAGCCUAUUACCCGAUAGCAAUUACCUUCACGAUGGCCUUUCCUUUGACAGAUAUCACAAAAAAAUUGUUAUUAGAACUACUAUUACCCCCAUAAUUGUUGCCAUAGUUAUUAUUAUUGUUGAAUUUUCUUCCUUAUGAUUGAGUAUUAUGAAUACUCAUUAGGGCUGUACUUUCAUUCGACUCAAUUCCUACACAUGAACUGGAUUCACAGAUCUUCCUUUGACUCUCCUCAUGCACAAGCAUAACAUGUGCUUGGCUAACAGAGGGAGAUGGCAUCAUAAGUAAGAUUUGACUCCUAAUAGCACUGUAGGACUCAUUUAAUCUCAUCAUGAAGUGAAACAAUUUCUGUUGUUCUAGAUGCAGCUUAAAAUCCUUCGAUGCAAGACAUCCACAUAUAGCAGGCACUAAUGAACAAUACUCAUCCCAUAACAGGCGCAAUCGUGAAUGAUAAGUAGAGAUAUCAGAAGUACCUUGAGAAAUUGUGGCUAUUUCUCUGUGAAGAUUGUGGAUCCUUGAUCCAUUCACCUUAUCAAAUCGCUCAUGUAGAUCCAUCCACACAGCAUGAGCAUCGCCUGCAUACAUAAUCCCAUUUACUAGCUCUUUCGAAACUGUAUUCAUAAUCCAAGUUAGGAUUGUUGCAUUCACUCGUUCCCAUUCUUCUGCUAGUACUACAACAAAUAUGAUAUAUAGCUAUGAAAUUAUUAGCUACGACAUAAAAUUCGUCAUUAAUUGUUCACUUUUAGUGACAAAAAUUACUUUUCGUGCUUAAAUAUACAAGGCAUAUACUUUUGGUGACGAAACAUAAUAGUUCGUAGCAAAGUUUUGUCCACUAAAGUUUCCCACCAAAAAAUGUAUUGGCGCCAUUUAUUGAGUACUGUCAGUCACGAAUUUAAAGUUACCAGUGACACAUUAUUUCGUCACUAAUGAUGUUUUUAAUUUGUGACAACUUAUUUUUGUCUUAAAAUUAAUUAAUUUUUUGACGCAAAAUAAUUUCGUCUCAAAAAAUAUGUUGAUACAAUAGCGACAAAUUAGAAUUUAUAGUUAAAUAUUCUAAGUUUUAGCUAUAAAAAUUUAGAUUUUAUUGUAACAUUUAUUUUCGUCACUAAUAAUAUAAUUAAUUGGUGACAAUUAUUUUAUUGUCUCUAAUCAACCUACGAUUUAGUGACAACAAAAAAUUGUCACAAAAUAUGUAUGAUAUUAAAUAGCGAUGACUUAGAAUUUGUAGUUGAAUAAUUCAACUAUUUGCUACAAAAAUAUUCAUUUUGGGUACGAUUGUUUAUAAUUAGAGAAUUUCAUAAAUGGUCCAUCAACUAUUAAAGUAGGUCUAAAAUAGUCCUAUAACUAUACAUUUAUCAUAUUUAGUCCUUUAACUAUUCAAAAUAUUAUCAUGUUUGGUCUCUUAAUUAUAUACUUACCAUUUUUAGUCUCUUGACUAUGCAUUUACUAGUUUUAGUCUUUAAGUAUUCAAAAAUUUAUCACGUUUGGUCUCUUUGAUUAUUUUUAUAAAAAUAGUACUCAUGUCUAUGUGAAAUUAUAUCUUUAACCCAUUUUUUAGUUAUUUCUCUUUCCCACUACUUUUUCUUCAAAUUACUCUGAAAAAAAGAACCUUACCUCAAUGAUUCAAAACAAAAUUCACGGUAAAAGAAGAUACAAGUCCUGAUUUUUAUUCAAUGGAGGAUGAAAUCAAAUAUAUUAUUGCUACCAAUGACUUGAGAAUGCUAAAAUUUAUUAUAAAAGAAAAAUGUUAUUACUGGUUAGUUGUAGAAAGAAAUUUAUUUAUAUUUAAUACAAAUGAAUUUCCUGCAAUUAGAAUAAAAUUAAAAAAAAUUUACUCGUAUAUUUUGAUUCCAAAUUUUGUACUCCAAUGACUUUAUUAACGGGAAUUUAUUUAAUAUCUUAGAAGCUGAAAUUUAUAAAAUGGUAGAUUUUCCACCAUUUUUAAGAUUUUUUUUAUUUUGAAAUAUAUCAAUUUUAUUAUUAUGUUCAUUUGAUUUUUCGUAGAGAAAUUGAAUAAUAAUAUCAAAUCUUUUAUUUAUUUUAUAUGAAAAAAUGGAAAAAAAUAUUCACGCUAAUUAUGAACCGUUAACCACUAAAGAAGAGAACAUUUAUUUUUUUGUUGGUAACUGUACAGACUAACUCGAUCUAUUUGCUUCUGUCUAAAAAUACAUACAUAAUUAGUAGUGGAUCUUUUUACGUAGAGCAACUCUAUUGAGAGUCUAUCGACUUACAAACUUAGACUGCAAAGAUGCAAAAUAUUUCAUGGGUUCUAUUACCUUUUUCAUCCGUGUGGAAAAUUGAAAAUAAACUAAAAAAAAAUGAAAGCACAAAUGAAAGAAAUUAACCAACUAUGAUUUUGAAUAUAUUAAGAUAAAGUACUAUCAUUGUGGGUAUCAAUAUUUUUUUAAAAUUUGAUUUACCGAUCGAAGCGAACCGAGUAUUAGUAUUUCUUUUAAUAAAGUCGAAUGUUUUAUUUUAUAUAACUUUAUAAUUAUACUGAAUAAUGUUUUAAUUUAAAAUAGUGUAUACACUUGUUUAUACGUGUAUAAUAGUGUAUAAAAGGUGCUUAUAUACAUUUUUAUAUUGUUAUACAUAAUUAAACUACACAUACACAAAUCAAUUGUAGAUAAUUUUUAAAUAAUGUACCUGCACUUUAUAAGUGUGUAUAAACAUUGAUUAUAUACAAUUAUAAUAUAGGACACCUUUCAAUCAUCACGAGUGUUCACACCCAAUUUUGAUAAUAUGCAAUUCGUAUUAAUUAUCGAGCUUCUUCAAUUUGAAAUCAUUAUUUUUGAAAUUUUCAAAAAUAUUUUAAAUAUAUUCUCUAAAUAGUUCUGUUAGUUUUCAUAAAUAAUUAUAUAACUAUAUAUAUAUAUAAAACUUUAAAUUAGUUAACUUCAUAUUUAUGUAUAAUUAUUAAUUAACUUAUGUCUUAAGAAAUAUUUUGUCUUAUUUUAAAUUAAGAACCUCAAAUAAUUAAUCAAUCGAAUUUAGCUAAUUGAUUCGAUUUGGCAAUAUUCAAAUUCAAUUGACUAAAUUCCUAAUACAAUAGGCCACUCAAUUCAGCUAAGAUUACAAUCGUUUGGCCAUAUUUUGAAUUCUUUAUUCUAAGACCCUCAUAUCCUCAUACAUCUAGAGUCAAUUAGGUCAUUUUAUAGAUUAUUAUAUUUGAUUUAAUAUAUUGUGUAGACACGUAAUUUUUUAUCAAACUUAAGUUUAACAUUAUUUUUAGUGCUUAAAUAUUUUUUUAAAAUUUAAAUUAAUUAUUUUAAUUUUUAUUUUAUUUUAUUAAGUUUAUUUUAAAUGAUUUGAAAAGCACAAAAAAUUGAAUCGUAAUUUUAGGUAAGUUUUAUUUUUUCAAUUGUUUUAAAAAGAAAUAAAAAAUAUAAUUUUGUUUAUAUGUUUUCUUUAAUUUAGGUUUAAUAAAUAAGCUAGUAAUUUUAAUAUAUUCUUUAAUUACAUAUUUAGAUUAACUACUUAUCUUUUCUUAUAUUUUCAUUAGUUCAAAAUAAUUAGCUAAUAUUUUUAUAAUUUUUAUAUAAAUUUAAUAAAUAAAUAAUAACCAACUGAAACUACCUCUUACCCCACUACUACACCUACACCAUCCUAUUUUCCUCCCACUAUCCUAAUUGUUUACCCACUAUCUACCCACACACACAAUCAUUACCUGUAUUAACACAACAAUAAAUCAAAACUAAAAGAAUCAGCAACACCCAAACCCAACAAACGACAAUAAGGAAAAAAAGGGGAAAAAAAACUCCUAUACGACCAUCACACAAAAACACACAAACAAAAAAAAAGGACGAUCAACAAAAAAAAAAAAACAUAUACACGCAAAGCAACAGCAACACAUGGAAACAAAAAUACAAUACACACUAACACCAAAAACAAUAUUUAUGAGAGUUUUAAUCGAGUUUCGAUCAAGAUUUUGCGGUUCUUAUUUCUUCAUUUGUGGUACUUAACUUUACCUUAUCUCUUAAUUUAUUUAUGGAAAUUUAUGUAAUUAUGUGAUAAGUUUUUCUAUUUUAUUUAAAAUUUGAUUGAAAUGAAGAUUGGGUUAAAGUGUUAUAUCACCAUUUAAUGAAUGAAGUCCUAUAUAAUGUAAGAAUUUUAUUUUUUAUUCUUGUUGUUGUUGUUGUUGUUGUUGUUGUUGUUAUUGUUGUUUAAUUUUGUCAUGCCCAAGCCACUAUUUUUAUGACAUUGUUGUAGCUUAAUGUUCAUGUCAAUUGUCUAUUUUAAUUUACAUAUUUUUAAAUAAAUGUGAUUACCUAAUAAACAAACAAAUGGGUUAUGUUGUUAAACUUGAAUUUACUUCAUUUUGGAUUAGUUGAAUCCUUUGAUAUGAGGAUUAAUUUAUUUAAAAAUAGUAUCAAUUAAUAUAAUAAUGGGAUGAAAGAAUAGUUCUCUAAAAUUCACCAAAAUAAUAGUAAGUACUUUCAAUACUAGGUGAGUUUUAGGCACGUUAGAAAUAUGUGUUUCAAUUAAGAGACUUUUAUUCAUUGCCUAAGCAAUAUCAGUUGUUGGCUUUUGUAUUCACCUGCCACAUUCAUGAGUUAUUUUAGGGCUUUUGUAUUUAGCAAAUCAGAAUUACAUUGUUGAUAACAUGCACCUAAUUAACUGACAUAACAUUUCAAUUUUCAGUUAAAUGAGCUACAUAAAAAAGAUUUGGACUUACAAGUAUUUAUCUGUCAACUUUAUGAAAAAAGAGCCUUUUGAUUGUUUCAUUUGUCAUUUCUUAAUCACAUUAAAUUUUUUUAUAAUUGAUGGCCUUUUUCUAUUAUGUUCUAAGAAAUUGCUUGAGUUUUGUUUUCUAGAACUCUCGUCUUUUUUUUUCUCCAACAAAAUGGAUGAGGCUAUAAAUUCUAGUUAUAUGCAGUUUCUCCUUUAAUUCACGCAUGUUUGAUUCGAAUGUGAGAAUUCCUACAUAGAUUACAUUAUAUUUUAAUAGUUAAUAGUUUUCAUGAAUGAUAGAGUUUAUGUUGCCAUGUAGAGUAGUUUGUGAUGAUAUAUACUCCAUAAACUUUCACGUGUGUUAAACUUGUAAUGAUAAAAUUUAUAUUGUAAAUUAGAAAGUACUAAUAUAUAUAUNNNNNNNNNNNNNNNNNNNNNUAUGUGUUACCACAUUAUUGAUAUUUUAGAAAGAAUUUUUACUUAUAUGUCUUUGUAUAGGAGUAAUAUUUAGUAUAUUUUUGGUUUGAUUUUCUUGUCAUUGGACAUAUUUUACUUUUAUUUUAGGAGUUCGUAAUGAGAUAUUAUUAAUUUAGUAUAAUUUUAGUUAUUUUUAUUGUAUGAUCAUGGGUGAAUUUUAUGACAAAUAUUUUUGUCAUGAAUUAAAUUAAUUCAUCACAAGUUGAUUACAUUUAGUGACACAAAUGUAUUGUCCUAGUACCCCUUUUAUUGAAUAUGAUUUUAUUUUUAUUUUGUGACAAUUGUAAGUGUCACUACUUAUGAUAAUAUUUUGUGACAAUAUAUGUCGUCGAUAAAAGCAGCACUUUUAGUGACAAAAUGAUAUAUUUAAUCACAAAAUUAUUAACUUUUUUUAUUAUAUUAAAUUUAUCCCUAAUUUAUACAUUUAAGGACAAAAUAUUUUUUUGUAUAUAAAAAAAUAGUCAUUAGUGACGAUAUUGUAUUUUUCAACUACGAAAUACAUAUAGCUUUAGAGACAUUUGAUGUCGUCACUGAUUGAACAAAAUAAUUAGUGAUGAUUUAAUUUUGUCACUAAUAAUAAUAUUUUUAGUGACAAAACAUACUAUUAACUACAAAAAAGUUACACUUUUAUGACAAAAUAAAUUCGUCACAAAUGUUUAUGCAUUUGGGGACAAUUUUUAUUUUGUAGUUAAUUAUAAUAUUUUAGUGACGAAGCACUAAAUCGUCUUUGUAUACUUUUAGUGACGCACGUUUAGUGACGACUGACUGACGAAAUUUUUUUUCGUCACACAAGAGUUUUAGUGACGAAAUAUGAUUUAUAGAUGACGAAAUUGUACGAACUCUUCUUGCAUGUUCCAUCAAUGAAUCCUGAUUUUCGUUUGGCUCACAAUGCAAUCUUCAUUUCUCUGCUCCAAAUCGAGUAAUUCUCUGAUCCACUGAGAUGAACAGAGAUUAUUACAUUGCCAGGAUUAUCUGAUGGUAACAGACAUAGAGGAUGUCGAUGAUCUGUAACCUCCAAUUCCACCAUCGCUAAUCCUUAGAGAUUUUGAAAAAAAAAAAAUUGCAUGAAUUUGGGGAAAACUUUUGCAGAGACUUGAGCAACUUCACUACUCAACUCUUGAAGCUCCAAUCACCCUAACCGUAGCUCUGAUACCAUGAUAAAACCUCCAUUGAAGAAAUGAAGACUUUCUAGAUCAUUCUUAGAGCUUAACAGAGAGAGUAAAUAACUGCUUGUGUGUAUUGAUUAGAAUGAAUACAAAAUGAAUGUACAUUUAGUGUAUCUACUACUAUUUAUAGAAUGACUAACUAACUGAUUAGUCUAACUAACUACUACAUAAUAUGUUAUAACAGAAUUCUAGUAAUACAAUCACUAUUUCAUCCUUUCUCUACAACAAUCUCAACAAUUUUAUUGAGAUGCUCAAUUAUUUUAAUUUCCAACUAAUAGUCUUGACAAUAUGAAUAAAAAUAUGAUAUUCUUGAUGAUUAAUUUAGGUAUAUGAGUGUUUCUAGCUUUAUACCGAGAUACAAUUAAGUGCAUGAUGAACUAGUUUAGAACCAAUGCAUUAGUAACUAUAUGUUUGAAUACAUACGCAACCUUUUAAACUUGUAUGUAUUAGUAAUCACCCUUUAGCUAAAUGCAAGUAAAGGUAAUAUUUUAUUUUAUAAAAACCAUUCACCCAAGCUUUCAAUUUUUCAGGAUGAGAGUUUAGGCUGGAUCUAUACCUUAUGUAUUAUUUGAGUUAAUAUCUUAAAAUGUCAUUGAACUAUGAGAAAUUAUCUAAAAAAGUCUUUGAACUUUAUUUUGUGUCAAUAAAAUCACCCAACUUAAGACUUUUAUCUUCAAAAAUCACUCAACUAAAUUUAUCAUUAAAAUAAAUUUAACAUGAAAAAAUGAUUUUUUUUUCCUUAUGCCAUUUAAUCAUGGACCCACAAAAAAUAUUGUGACAUAUAAAUCUUUGAAAUAACCACAAAAAAUUACAAAAAUAAUAUCUAUACUUUGUUGUGAUUUUUCAUCUUCUACUUCUGAACCUCAACAACCUCUCCAGCAGUUUCAAUACUUACAACUUCACCAACACCUUGAGCAGCCAGACAUUAGUUCUAAUAGCUAUUACUGGUCCUUCAUUUGGUUCCUUACGAACAAAAAGAUAAGAAAUAAAGACCUUGGCAGAGAACAUUUUGAGAUUGUAUUACUUUUAAAGUAAAAUUAUUACCUGGGUUAUGGUUCACUGAUAUGCCAAAUUUAAUUUUGGUUAUUAUCGUUUUACGUAUCCGGGUGAUAAUCAGUCAUUUGAAGCCUCAUUAGUUGGAAAUAUAAUUUAUUUCUUCCUAUCAAAUUUAUUUUAAUGGUAAAUAUAGUUGAGUGAUUUUUGAAGAUAAAAACCUUAAGUUGAGUGAUUUUAUUGAUACAAAACAUAGUUUAAUGACUUUUCUAGCUAAUUUCUAACAAUUUAGUGACAUUUUAAGAUAUUAACUUUGUAUUAGUUAAACAAAAGAAUGAAAUAGAAGGAAUUAAACAUUACCUCUAGAUAUAAGAGGAUGCCAAGAAAGGAAAGUGACAACUUCAAUUUAAAGAUAGCUAAGAUAGACAAAAACAGGCUACCAUUUACAUUAAAUGGUGAGGUAUUCAGAGUUUGAUUACACGAUGUAUCCAUCUUUAUGUUCAACAACCUCUACUCUGUCAACUUCAUUACCAGUACCCGAUUUUGCUUCACCAACUUCCUAUGUUUCUGUCACGACCCAGACCGCCGUGAGUGGCACCCACACUAACCCUCCGGUGGGAGAACCAAAACUAAAGCCCAACUCAUAAAUUUUCUGAACACUAAGGCAUUUAAAGAUACAGAAGCAGGUUUAAAUAACUAUAAAAAAAGGAGUCCCUAUAAACUCCAAGGUUUUAACAAUUAACUAACCAAACUAAUGCGGAAAUUCAUCCCCUAAAACAUGAAAGUCAAUGUACCAAAACUUUACUAACGACAAAUCUAAGAACAAUGGGUACAACCCCGAAACUAAACAAACACCUUAAACAAAUAGUCUGAGUCAGAACAGAGUCGACUUAACAAAAGAGAUCCGUGGCAGCCCGAAAGAAAUGGCUCACCCUUGAAUCCGAUCACACACAAUAGUCACCUAGCUGAGGUCUAUCAAUAGCCUCCUGAAGAGGCCCUGUACUCAACAAAGAACAAGCAAGUUCAGUAUCAGUACACAACCACAGUGUACUGGUAGGAUCACGCGGCUAUCCCAAUAAGUGUAACAUACAUUAGUCAAUACAACAAUAUAAUCACAUGCACAUAAUGAACAUAUACAAUAUCAUCAACAUAUACGAACAAUGAACAACUUCACAAUUCUCACAUAUCACAGUUAUAUCAAUUUAGAGCAACAUACUGUCUUCCAAUAUCAAUCGUCAUUAGAUAUGAACGAAAUCAUCACAAGUAGAUACACAACACAAUUAAAUGGUCCUCUCACGGAACCCAAUUCAAUGGUCAUCUCAUGGAACCCUCACCCAAACAGUUAGUAUACCGGAACGUGGUACCCGAUCCAAUGAUUAUGCCGAAACGUGACAAUCGAUCCCAUAAUUAUGCCGGAACGUGGCAACCUAUCCAAGUUAGUUAUGCCGGAAUGUGGCAACCGAUCCAAGUUAGUUAUGCCGGAACGUGUCAGCCGAUCCAUUCAACAUGCCACAAUCACAAUCACAAGUAUAUCCUCAAGAUCAUACAUUUAAGUCAUGAUUUCAUGGUAACCAUCAUUCAUCUAUCUCAUUUACAACAAGUGUGAUCAAUAAUGCAACAUUCAUAUACAUACAUGUAUCAUAAUGAAGUAAGAACAAACAUACAUCACAGAAUUACAGAAUCACAACUAUCACAUAGCUCGAAUCCAAGCUUGAAUCCCCUAAGGCACUUGAAUCUUCCCUUUUCGGAUUCUUCCCGCUUGUUUGUGGUCUAAAAACAUACAAAUAACGCAAGGAUCAACAAACGAGGCCUAAUUACCCGGAUUAUAAUCAAUAAAUAUCAAUCCUAGGUGAAACGCUUGGUCCCCAUACCCAGAUUAGGGAUGUUUCCACCAUAGAAUCUAUAACAAAACCCUACCCCAUAAACAUUCACCCAUUCUAUUACGUUCUACGGAUCGAAAAAUGAAUUUGGGGAGUGAAAAACUUACAUUUAGCCUCAAGAAUGGUGAAAAAUGAGUAGGAGUCGCUAGGGGUUCGUUCCUUAGCUCUAAAAAUCGAAAAGUGCUAAUUAAGGUAGUUUAAGGGUUUAUUUACGACUUUAAGUCUCGUCGAACCCGCUACGGCGGGACCCAACCUGCCACAGCGACCCCGCCAUGGCGGCACUAUCCCGCUCUGGCGGCUUGCACAGAAACAAUGAGCAAAUUUAAGAAUUCCAACUCCCAUUUCACAACACACAUUCAUCCCAUGACACUCAGAAAAUACAUGAUCAUACUAAGAUCAGUUUCGGGAGUUCUACUCACCCGAAUUCAAUUCUGUAAAGUCGUACGGGUUCCUUAACGUCUUAGCUAUCCACUCAUGUAAUCAAAUUCAUUAAUAGAUCUCUCAUUGGUUACCAGAUUUCCCUAGACCUCACUGACUCCGAUUUCGUCCAAAUCUGGACUAGGCUAGGAAAUCUCAAGUUACUACGAAAAAGUUUUCUGACCCCAGUUCUUUCUCCAUUGGCUUUUCCAUAACGAUGAAAAUCAGGUCAAUAGAUACCAAUUUACCCAUCAUUUGUCCCCGAGUGACAAACUAGGAGAAAAGGGCUAAAACAAGAAUAUAGUAGUAAUUGAAUCGUCAAAUAACUAGGGAUACUUGUCCCACAUACUUUUUUCUGUCGACUCUGGGCUGCUAGAAGCUUAGAUUGGAUACUUCUCACCUUACCCUAAACAUCUUUCACCAAAUCAACUCUCAAAGGUUUCACGUUUUCAACCUCAAACCAACCAAUUGAACACCUACACAUGCUCCCAUACAAUGCCUCAAUGAAGUCAUCUUAAUACUCGAGUGAUAAAUAUUGUUGUAUGCAAACUUAACUACAACAAAAGUGAUUCCCAACAACCACCAAAGUUGAUUGUACACACGUCUACAACAUGUUAUUAAGGACCUUGACACAAUCAUCCGGACGAAUCUUUUAACACUUAAGCAGAUAAAAUUCCAAGUCAAUACUCGCUACAAAUAGAAGUGAACCUAAAUCAACCAACACACACUCACAAUACCCAAACAAUCAUAGUUGUUAACAAUAUCUCCAUCCCACAACAUAAAUUCCCAUGAGCUUAAGUUAUAACCAAUUUGAUCUUUAGAAAUCAGGUACUCAUCAAGGGAUAUGUCCAAGCAUACAACCCCUCCAACAACACUAUCGAAAUGCUAGAUUUAGUAAUUAUAGAUUACCUCUUAAUAACAGUAGAAUUGGACCUAAUGAUCCCCACAUUCAACCACACAUAACCGGUACAUGACCUCGACGACUAGAGGAAUAUUAAGAUUGUCGGACAAUCACAAAUACGCAUGGCAGCUCUUCUAUAAAUUCUCAUAACCAAGGUGGUACAUGUAGAACCACAAAAUAUUUUUAACAACUCCAAGACAACAUCAAUUAUUUCAUUCGAAAUAACCAAAUCUUCCCAAUAUUCCCACUCAACCAAGAGAAUAUUGCAGGAUUUGGUACCCCCGAUCCACUACCAGGGAUCCACCCACAAAAGUGAAAACACACGAGAGCAUAGCUAGUGAAUCAUACUCACAAUACUAACAACCAUCAUAACACUCUGACCAUUUACCUUAUUAUAACUCAACACUUUUUAAAUGAAACAUUUCUUAGAUACUUAACAAUCAAUAAUAAUAAACUUUACCACUCAAUCCAGGUGUAAGUCCUUUCAAAUACUCAAUACCGGAUACAAUUGAUCAUUUCUCACCUUGCCAAUUCAUACUUUGAUAAAAUACAUCACUACGAAUGUAGACUCAAUAAAGGGAGACUCAACCUCAACACCCCGAGCAUGAUCCAAAUAAGCCAAACAACCCAGUCUUACCAGUUUCUUAGCCCGAAUGGAGGAUAUGAUCUUAGCUAGCUUAGGCUUGUACACCCCUUCCCAAUAUAAUCUUUCCCUACCGGGGAUCUCUAUAGUUACCGACUUAGUAUUACAAUUAAGCCUGGUAUAAUAGGGGGACAACCAAUUCAUGCCUAAGAUUAUAUCAAGUCAGUCAUAUCCAGCAUAACCAAAUCAACCCAAAUCUGAAAAUCCAUAACCACAACAGGACAACACGAUACACAUAGGUGACUAUGAAUGACUCUUCAACUGGGGUAGUAACAUGGAUGGGGGCAUCAAGUAUACACAAACCACAUCAAAUCCCAAGGCAAUUAAACUGACACAUAUGAAUAAGUAGAACCCUGAUCAAACAAAACAAUAGCCAUCCGGGCACAGACAAGAGUAGCACUCGUGACCACUGCAUCACACCCUCAAACUCGGUCUAACCCGGAAAAACAUAAAACUGAGUCAUGUCAUCUUGACUAGCAACCUCAUUGCCUAGAUGCACAACUCAUCUACCUGCAUUACCAUUUUCCCAGCCUCCACAGCCUCGUUGAUUUCCUCCUCAUAUGCCCAGGUUCUCCACAAUUUUAACACAUUUUAUGACUUAUAUUCUUAGAUCGUCGGGGUUAGUUCAGGUACGAUUCGGGGGCCAUAAUUGUGACUAGGGGAAAACAUGGGAGAUUGGGCUAAGAUUCUAUCUCUCUUUGUCCCGCUUUGGCGGGAGAAAUCCCGCACUGGCGGUGUCACCUUGGCGGGAAAAUCCCCCCCAGCGGCUAUAAUGAAAACAGAAUCCCUGCCAACAAUUUUUCUGGGUUUCUUUUCUUUCCCAAUUUCCCCCAAAGGUUCCCAACUAUAACACAGACAUUUUUAGAGUACUCAAUCCCCUUAGCUAAGAUAAUCGUUGCCUACCCCGAGUCAACCCAACGAUACACACUCCAAAAUCCCUUUACGUUACUUCAACACUACAACAUCCUCGUCCCCAUGAUAUACCCAGACUCUCACACGGUUUUCAGUUGGUCGCAACGCAUGUCCAAAUUUCUCGUUUACGAACCACAUCGUAAUUUAUCUAGACCCUUGCACCUAAUCUCGUGAUGACUUUCUUUUCACAACAAGUUUCACGACACUCAAGCAGUUACAACUUGCAGACAAGUCCAAAUUCCUUAAUUAGCUCAUUCCAUAGAUGACCAUUACUGAUCAUCUAUGCCUUAUAUGACCCCUAAGGCAAGAUACCAAUUGCAACCUUCUCAAUUCUAAUUAACUUGCUUGUGUCACUUUAGCCGGGACUACGGCGUCUAGUUCACUUCGUUGAGAUACCAAUUGGAAUCGGGAGAUACCAAUUGGAUUCAACUCAUACCACAAGCGACAAUAGUAGCUAGCUAGCCCCACAAAACUACUAAUUUCAAUCAUAGAACUUGGUCGAACCAAAUUCUUAACCGCCUCAACCUUUAACUGAUGGUAACCAUACCUUAAAUCAAUCUUAGAGAAAACCGAUGCACCUUGCAAUUGAUUAAAAAGGUCAUCUAUCCUAGGCAAUAGAUAGUUGUUCUGAAUGGUGACCAUAUUCAACUGUCGGUAGUCUAUACACAUCCUCUCUUACUGGUGAUGGUGUUACCGUUGUUGUUGCUCUAGCUCGAACCAUGGAGUGAAGGAGGAAAGAUAUGAAUUUGUAUCACCCAAAUACCAAUUAGAUUCAAGUCAUAGCACGAAGGAGUAGAAAGAAGUGAGUUUUUUCCUAAAGUCCUAUAGUCUCUCGAAGAAAAGUACGGACGUUAUCGUACCGUUCCGCAAGACUCUACUAGACUCGUUUUGGUACAAUGAGAUCAACGAACCUAGGGUUCUGAUACCAACUUUGUCACAACCCAGACCGUCGUAAGUGGCACCCACACUAACCCUCCGAUAGGAGAACCAAAACUAUAGCUCAACUCAUAAUUUUUAUGAACACUAAGGCAUUUAAAGAUACGGAAGCAGGUUUAAAUGACUAUAAAAAUGGAGUUCCCAUAAACUCCAAGGUUUUAACAAUUAACUAACCAAACUAAUGAGGAAAUUCAACCCCUAGAAACCUAAAAGUCAAUGUACCAAAACUCUACUAACGACAAGUCUAAGAACAAGGGGUACAACCCUGAAACUAAACAAGCACCUUAAACAAAUAGUCUGAGUCCGAACAGAGUGGACUUAAACAAGAAAGAUCCAUGGCAGCCCGAAAGUAAUGGCUCACCUUUGAAUCUGAUCACGCUCAAUAGUCACCUAGCUGAGGUCUAUCAAUAGUCGUCUGAAGAGGCCAUGUACUCAACAAAUAAAAAGCAAGUGCAGUAUCAGUACACAACCACAGUGUAUUGUAGGAUCACGCGGCUAUCCUAAUAAGUGUAACAUACAUUAGUCAAUACAACAAUAUAAUCACAUGCACAUAUCGAACAUAUACAAUAUCAUCAACAUAUACGAACAAUGAACAACUUCACGACUCUCACAUAUCACAGUUAUAUCAAUUUAGAGAAACAUACGGUCUUCCAAUAUCAAUCGUCAUUAGAUAUGAACGAAAUCAUCACAAGUAGAUACACAACACAAUUAAAUGGUCCUCUCACGGAACACAAUUCAAUGGUCAUCUCAUGGAACCCUCACCCAAACAGUUAGCAUACCGGAAUGUGGUACCCGAUCCAAUGAUUAUGCCGGAACAUGGCAAUCGAUCCCAUAAUUAUGCUGAAAUGUGGCAAUCGAUCCAAGUUAGUUAUGCCGGAACAUGGCAACCGAUCCAAGUUAGUUAUGCUGGAAAGUGACAGCCGAUCCAUUCAACACGCCACAAUCACAAUCACAAGUAUAUCCUCAAGAUCAUACAUUUAAGUCAUGAUUUCAUGGUAACCAUCAUUCAUCUAUCUCAUUUACAACAAGUGUGAUCAAUAAUGCAACAUUCAUAUACAUACAUGUAUCAUAAAUGAAAGCAAAAAACAAACAUACAUCACACAAUCAUAGAAUCACAAUCAUCACGUACCUCGAAUCCAAGCUUGAAUCCCCUAAGGCACUUGAAUCUUCCCUUUUCGGAUUCUUCCCGCUUGUUCAUGGUCUAAAAACAUACAAAUAACGCUAUGAUCAACAAACGAGGCCUAAUUACCCGGAUUAUAAUCAAUAAAUAUCAAUCCUAGGUCAAACCCUUGGUCCCCAUACCCAGAUUAGGGUUGUUUCCACCAUAGAAUCUAUAACAAAACCCUCCCCCAUCAACAUUCACCCAUUCUAUUAUGUUCUACGGAUCGAAAAAAUAGAUUCGGGGAGUGCAGAGCUUACAUUUAGCCUCAAGAAUAGUGAAAAACAGAGUAGGAGUCGCUUGGGGUUCGUUCUUUAGCUCUAAAAAUCUAAAAGUGCAAAUUAAGGUCGUUUAAGGGUUUAUUUACGACUUUAAGUCGUGUCAAACCUGCUACGGCGGGACCCAACCCACCACAGCGGCCCUGCCCUGGCGGCACUAUCCCGCUCUGGCAGCUUGCACGGAAACAGUGAGCAAAUUUAAGAAUUCCAACUCCCAUUUCACAGUACACCUUCAUCCCAUGACACUCAGAAAAUACCCGAUCACGCUAAGAUCAGUUUCGGGAGUUCUACUCACCCGAAUUCAAUUUCGUAAAGUCGUACGGGUUCUUUAAUGUCUUAGUUAUCCACUCAUGUAAUCAAAUUCAUUAAUAGAUCUCUCAUUUGUUACCAAAUUUCCCUAGACCUCACUGACUCCGAUUUCGUCCAAAUCUAGACUAGGCUAGGAAAUCUCAAGUUACUACGAAAAAGUUUUCUGACCCCAAUUCUUUCCCCAUUGGCUUUACCAUAACGACGGAAAUUAGGUCGUUACAGUUUCAAGAUCAUCUUAGGGUUGAUUCACCUACAGUGUUUUCUUGCCUCCAUCUGUGUUCAACAGCCUCUACUCUGUCAACUCCAUUACUAGGAACCGAUCAUAUCACAAUGAACGAUCAGAGAAUAUUAAAAGUUCCACAUUUUGUCCAGUAAAUUUAAUAAAAUUAUCACUAAAAGUCAUAUUUUUAAUAACAAUUGAUUUGCGACAACUAUAAUGCACCACAAUAAAUAUCUUAAUUUCCUUUUAGCAUUCAUUGUUGUGGUCAGUAAAUUUAAAUAAUUUUCUCUAGAAGGCCACAAGAUUUAACAGGUAUGGUUUACACACCAACGAAAAUGGCUACAAUAUUUUUUUUUUAGAAAAAUGAUCUAAUUUGCUAAUAAAUUUAAUUAAAAUGUUAGUAUAAGGGAGCCGUUUAGUGGCAGCAAAAUUUAGAAAAUGCUCGUUAUAUAUAUAUAUAUAUAUCUUUAGCUCUAACAAACAAAAGAAAGUAUUAAUCCAAAAUACUACUAUAACAACUUUAAAAAACUAACACAAAUAAUAUUCUUCAAAUAAUUUUUGCAACUCUUCAUCAUAUUGAAGUCUCUCAAAUUGCUAAAUUUUUUUAAUUUUAGGUAAUUUCCUACUAAAGCAUCGUAGUCCCUCAAUAAAAAGAUUUUAACUACUAAACUAAAUACUGAUAGAUACUAUACACUACAUCAAAAAUGAUCAUUAGCGAUAAUCAAUUCUUAAUUGCCGCAAAAUAUCUAUUUUUAGCGGCAAUUAGCACUCUUUGCAUAUGUCCCUAAAUCCUUUAGCGACAUUGGUUCUAAUGGCACUUAACUAAUGUCAGUAAAGACUUUAGCACUCUUUAUUAAUGUCCAUAUUUAUUGCCGCUAAAAGUUGUUUUUGUUGUAGUGUAUAUUCUGUAUCUACCGAUGGAUACAUAUCGCGAUAUCGUCAGUUAAGUCUUGAUAAAAAAAGUAACAAAUACUUUCGAUGCAUGAAAAAUUACUAUUGUCGUUUCAAAAGUAGGAAGUGCAUUAUUAUAAUUACCGGGAUGUAUAAAUGUUCUAAAACAAUUAAUAAUUUAAAAAUAUGAAUGGAGUCUCUCGAUAUCUCUAAAUACACCGGAAUUAAAUUUCUCUGACUACGGAAAAGACAGUUAUCCUUUUGUUAAAUGAUUUGAAUAUCGAUUUAAUAACUUUAUAUGUUAACUUAUUAGAGUAAUACUAACUGUAUAUAAAAUCUAAUAAAAACUCAAAAAGUAAGGGUGCAAAACUACAAACAUAUAAAUGUACAAUAAUUCCAACAACUUAAAUCUGAAAUAUGUGAUAUUCAUGAAAAACUCUAGAAAAAUUAAAUGAGUUGUCAAACAUAUGUUAUAUAAUUAGUUAUUUUUGAAAUUUCCUCAAAAAUAGUAUUUCUCAGCAAGUGGUCCUAAUAGAUUCCUUUGUUUGUAACCUAUGAGGAAAUUAAGUGGACAGUCAGAUUUUGUACGGAGAGUUGUUAUGGACAAAUUUGAUUGCUCUAUUGUAACUCUACGGCCUCACUGCUAAGAUAUUAUUCCUUUGAUAUUAUAUUGUUCAAUCAUUUUUAUUUAUUCAUUAUACAUAGCAUGACUCUUAAAAGAUAAUAAUAAUGAUUGAUAUAAGGCUUGUACCAAAAAGCUCAUAUUAAUUAGUAAUAUUUAGUAUUAUGCUUUGAAUAAUAAUUUUAAAAAAAUAAUUAAUAUGUCAAAUGUGACCAGUAGAAAUUAUAGUUUUGAAAUAUUAGAUAGAUUCCACCAUUCUACAUUAAAUCUUGUUUUAUUGUUCACGUGGCAUGUUUUAUUUUCUAGAGUUUUGUAUAUCACCAUAUGAAUUUAGCAAAAGAAAGGGACGUAAAUAUUUUGCAAUAAUAAAUCGUUUCAUUAAGAAUAAAAAGAUUACACAUAAAUUAAAACAGAGGGAGUAGGUUAGAUAUUCUAACAAACAUUAAUGAUUUAAUUUAACCAUCGAGCAAUUCAAUAGCCACACUUUGGAUGGAGAUCACAUCUCCACCCGUUUUAGGAACCACAGUUACCGUAAUGGUAUCGUCAUCUUCCAGCUCAAUGUCCUCUAACAGUUCAGUAAUGCCUAGCUGAAACAUCUCAUCAGAAUCCAUUUUCUUAUUAUGUGCAUGAACGUGAGGCAAGUUGACAUAGCUCCCCGCGAACUCCACCUUAUCAAGCUCAUCCGUAUUCACAUCCUCAUCCUCGUUCAGGAACACAUCAAAUCUUAUAUAUUUGUUAGUAUCAUACUUUAAACCCUUGAAUAUUAGCACCUCUUCUUUUUCGUCUUUAUCCUUUUGACUCCUUGACGUAGUUGGCCUAUUGAUGGAAAACGAAAAUGGGUUUGUUGAGGUUAGCAAUUGGGAAUACUUUGUUUGCUGGCUUGAUGUUUGUUACAUCCACUUUUCCUUCUCUGCCUUUUCUUGUUGGCCUACAGUUAACCCACGGGAUGGCUGCUGGCGCGUAAUCAUAACCCAUCUUCUUCGUAUCCAAACAGUCUCCUACCCUCACACGGUAAGGGUUUUUGUUUUCAUCGUAGAAAAAGAAUUCAGAGUUCAACCAAUCUGGAUCUAUGAUAUCCCUUCUUUUCCCGCCUAAUCCUUUCCAUACUUUCCACAUUCGGUCCACAUUGGCAUGGUGGCAAUAGAAAAUCGGGUCUAAAGCGGCUGAGUAGAAAUUACCCAUAUCUUCACCUAAUGACAGUUUACCACCACCCAAAUCUGUAUUUCUAACAGUACCAGCCCAAAUGUGGACCGGAGUAUGAGGGAUGUUUUCAAUAGUUCCCUGACCUUUGGAAUCGUUAUUCCCAAGGACGUAACGAGCACCAAAGAAUUGCAAAGGGCAUGCAGCAUUAGUUAUCAUUGAACGGUACAUUAAAGUUAAGUUGUUAGUCACCGUUUGUCCAACAUCAGUAAUAACUUCGUCUCUAGGAGAACUAAAAUCGAUUAUGGUUCCAUUACGGACAUGUGGAUUACGUCUUGCAUCAUAAAGGGGAGUAGUUUCACGAUCGAACAUGGGAGGUAAACGCAUACCUUUUGGAUGGUCCCAAUUCCAAUAUGGUAAAGCGAAAGUUGGAUCAUCAAUGAGUUUUCCCAAUAUUCUCUCGUAGAAAAGGUAAACGCAUACCUUUUGGAUGGUCCCAAUUCCAAUAAGGUAAAGCGAAAGUUGGAUCAUCAAUGAGUUUUCCCAAUAUUCUGUCGUAGAAAAAUAAGUACCAUCUAUGGAACGGGAAGAAAAGCCAUGAUUGAUGAACUUGUAAAAUUUCAUCACCGAAUUUGUAAGCACCAUUGCAAUAAGCACAAUGGAUGUUGGCUUGUUGCAUGAAUGAACGAGGAUCGUCUUUGUCUAGUUCCUUCAUUCUUUUAGUUUCCAAUUGGUACUUUGCUAUAUAUUCCUUAGUCACGUCUUGAGCAACAGGACGUUUACGGAGCUUAGACAUGGGAGGAAGAUUGUAAUAUGGAAUGUUGUUCAAGUCCUUUGGUGUAGGAGGGCAACAACUAUAUUCUACUAGAUCUUUACUCCCCGUUUUCGUGGCUUUACUACAUGAUUUCAGAUCAGGCGGCGGUAUAGGAGAAGCAAAGGCUAAUGGUGCAAGAUUGGAAGCACUAUAGAGCCCUCCUAAACCAAGAAGCACAUUUCUCCUAUCGAUAUUUGCUUUAAUAUUUUGGUCGUGCUCAUUAGCAUUGCAUGAGACGUGGAAAAUUUGACUACGCCUUCUCUUCAACAAACGCGGAGAAUAAGGUUUUGCAAACAAUGAUGAGAGUGUUGUAGUAGUGAGAGUUUUGCUACUCUGGUCAUCAAGACUUAAACAGAUAGAAUUAAUGGAAGAUGAAGAAGCCAUUAGAUUGAGUGAUUGUUGUGAUUCGUAUCAUCUUAUAAAUAAAAGUGAGUAAAAUAAUCAUAAAGUUACAUAAAAACAAAAAAACAAAAGCUAUUGCAUUUCUAACCUUACAUGUCCACAUGAAGGAGUAGAUUAGGUAACCAC